ACAAUUCCGCGCCUUUGAAGCUGCUGAUUUUCUCUCUCAUCCUCUCCGCCUCUCUCACCAAAACCAACUCCAUCGCGUUAAGCUGCCAUGCGAAGUGCGUCGACUCCAACAUCUCCUAUUCGCUGGGGAUGUUCGCGCUCGCGCCGCUCUUCGCCGGCACUUGGAUCGUGUGGUUGCAGCACAAGAGUAAGCUCGAGCGCCACCGAUUGAGCUUGUUCGACAGAAAUGGCGGAAACCUAUUGAAGAAGAAGCUAUCCAAUCGCAGGAGAUCGAGAUCGAGCACCUCAAAAUAUACACAGCUCAGGAAAUGGAGAUCGCCACCGACAAUUUCAGCGGCACCAGAUCGGUAAUGCAGAGGUGCAAGCCGGGGAAAUUCUACCGCGGAACCUUCGAGAACAAUCGAGAGGCCGUUGUGAUGAAGAUUCCGUCGCCGGUGCCGCAGUCGAGAAUCGAGCAGUUCGUGGACGAGGUGAUCUUCCUCUCCGGGGCCCACGGGAGUCUGGUUAGGGUUUUGGGCUGCUGUUUGGAGACGAGCUCUCCCUUGGUGGUUUACGAGCUCCACGGCGACGGAAACCGCACGCUCGCCGACUUCGGCACGCGCCGCGGCGGCGCGUGCGUGCUCCGGGCGGCCGCGGCGGCGGUGAGGGGGCUUGCCGACCUGCGGUCGCGGAAUGCGAGGGCGGCGGGGUUCCUCCACGGCAACUUCUGCGGCGGCAACGUUUUGUUGGAUGAUUCUUUCGAUGCGAAGCUGUUCUACGCCGCCGCCUCCGGCAGCAACCUCGUCGUUGAUCAUCGAGAUCGCGGUGGUUUCGAUGACAAGGACGUGUGUAGCUUUGGGGCGGUGCUGGAUGAGCUGAUGCCGACGUGUCAGAGUGACGGGGAUCUCGACACGCAGCUGCUGUCGGAGGAUUUGGCGGCGGCGGAAGUAGUUUAUGUGACGGAGGUUGCCGCCAUGGCGGCAAGAUGCAAGAGUGUACGGCCGGAGGAAAGGCCUACCUUGACUGAACUGGAAACUACGCUAAGUAGAUCGAUUAAUUGCUUGCAAAAAUAAGCUAAUUUUUUUCGAGCUUGCAGAAUUGGAUCAAUUAUUUUAAAUUUCGAAAAUUUAAAAUAAUUGAUCAAAUUUUGUAAAUUCAAAAGAAUAGAGUUAUUUUUACAAAUUAUCCUAAGAUAGUGGUCUAAUUUUUAUUUUUUUUUAAUUUCGACAUUACGUGUAGAGGAAAUUGAGCUAGUGAGUGGUUUUUUCGGAUGAAAUCCUCUGUCCCAACUCUGUAUACCUACAUUGGAAUUCAUUGUUUGUUGUUAUAAAGAUGUAUAUAUACAAUCUUUCUAAAUUGAUGAAAACUUCUCUUAGCAAAUUUGUGUACAGCUUGAUUUAGAUUCACUAAGAUCCCAAUGGUAGGUAAUGUUCCUUUAUUUUAUGAAAGUCUUUAAUUUUUGAAGUAAAUAAGAUAUUAGGUUGUUAUAAUCAUCUUACACUUAUCAAUUAUCAUGUCUAGCUAAGCCCUUGUAUAUCUAAGUAAAUUUGAUUAAUCUAAGUAAAAAUAUUAUGCUUUUUUAGAAUAAAUAAUAUUUAAAAAAAUAAUUAAUAUUUAAAUCUAAAAGGUUCUCUUAGACUAAAGUAAGUUUCAAAUAAAUUCGUGUGCUUUGAAGAUUCAAUAAAUAAAAAAUUCUAAAUAAAAAUUCGUGUGCCCUCAAAAAAAAAAGAUUCAAUAAAUAAAAAAUUCAAGCUCAAUUCUUUUUUUUAGGCAAAAUUGAUUACUAGUAAAUAAGUCUAGAUUUUUAGCCUAGAUAUGUUUCCUCUCUCUGACUAUUUGGGGAAGAUAAGAUUGUUGGGCUUGACUUGGGCCCUCAUUAGUUUGGGGAAGAUAAGAUUGUUGGGCUUGACUUGGGCCCCUCAUUAGUUUGAGCCCAUUCAUUAUUAACAAAAAAAGAAAUAGGAGAUAGCUCAGACAUAAAAACAAAAGAUCAAAAGGGUUGCUGAUUAUUUUCAGUGGGGUGAUUUUAAACAUUGUGCUAUUAUAUAUACUUAUAUACUAUAAAAGUUCAUGUUUUAAAUUUUGAUAAAUAAUUAAACCCUAUCAUUUGUCUCCUACUAUUGUAUAUUAGUUUCUCUAUUGAAUUAAUAUUUAUUUUAAAAAUAAAAUGUUAGUACUUAUUUACUACUCCUACAAAAAAGUUUUUUUAAAAAUAUAUAUGCUGAUUUCGAAAUAUUCAACCCAAAUAAUCAUGCUUUAACUUAAAAACUUGCAAAUUAAAUGUAAAAAACUAAUUAAAAGCCAUAAUUUAAUUAGUGAAUCCUAGUUAAUAGUAGUAAUAAUUAUAAAAUGAAACUAAAUCACACUAUAUAUGUUGAAAUUGACAAAACUUUAAAAAAACAAUUACAAAAAUUGAUAGUGGGACACACUCCCUCAUCCUCUACAAGAUUUUAUCUGUAUAUAGGAAAGAUUGGAGGGGUGUAUAUGGCAUAGAGAUCUAGAGAGAGAGAGUAUUAACUAAGACAUUUUCAUCCCAUAAAACACAACAUAUAGUAAUAAUUUGGAGUUGCAGCUUAAAAAAGUGAUGAAGAAAAUCAAGCAGCAUACUUACCAUACAUCAAACUUGAGCUAUGGACUGUAUAUCUUUGCUAGCUUCCAAGAAACUUUCCAUCUAUGAGAAAUGUGAGCUCAGAAAAAGGAUUCUUAAUUUGAAGCUUUGAGGUGUGGAAGCUUUGAAGCAUGAGAGUUGUUUAUACAAAAGAUGUUUUAGAAACUGCAGCAGCAUUAAUGUAAGCUUAAAUAUACCCUUUAAAAAAAGACUUCAUCAUUUUCCAAGUCAACUAUAAUGAGACAAAGACCUUAAGAGAAGACUAAGAAGCCUUUGAACAAGUCAGAUUCAUCUAGAUCUGUUCAUACCUGAAAUUUUAUUUACAUUUUUUUAUUUAUGUUCAAUCUAAAAAGAAAUACUCCAUCCGUCCCAAUUCAAUACGCCAAAUUUCCUUAUUUAGAUGUAACAAUUCCAAUUGUAUAUAUAUCACCAGUUGAAGUAUAGGAUUUUUUUUUCCACUUUAUUUUUUUAUUUUUUUCUUGUUAGCUAAAUUCCAAGGUAAUUUACUACGAAAAUGCAAUUUUGCAAGGCAAUUUUAUCAAGAAACAAUGUAGUCAAAUGACCAUAAUGAAGAUUGAAAAUCAAUUUUUGGCCCAUAAUCUUAAAACAUCAAAAUAUGGUCAUUAGUUAGGUGGUAUGCCUAAUUUGCCCUUUUUACUCGGCCGCUGGGGUGAUUGCGCGGCCGCUGGAAGCUUAUGGGUGAGUUGCACGCUCGCGGAGAAAAGCCAGCGCUCGCUGCGCGUAUGGCACUAAUAGUGCUAUAAAUUAGUGCCAUAAGUGUCAUACACAUAAAUUAGUGCCAUAAGUGCCAAAAGAACCAUUUUAAACACUUUUCCGUAGGAUUUAGAUGUUCCAUUUAGGGUUUAGAUGUUCGAUUUAGGGUUUAGAUUAUCCAUUUAGGGUUUAGAUGAUCCAUUUAUGAUUUUUUUAAUUCUAUUAGUGUUGUUUGUGUUGCACGUAUGACAAUUAUGACACUAUUAGUGCCAUAGGUGCCAAAAUGACCAUUUUACUUGGUUUUAAUUUGGAUUUCCGUUGUCACUUAUGGCACUAUUAACCCGACCCGGCACGCGACCCGCGUGCCUGAUCCUACCCGGUCCGCCUCAUUAAGGGUAAAAACGUCCAAAUCAGUAAAAAUGAUCACAUUUUAUGUUUUUUCAAUGUGUGGCCAUAAAUUGUGUUUUAUGCUUUAUUUUGGCUACUUCAAAAUUUUACUUUUUUAUCAAUAUAUUACAAUAAUGCAAAGAGGUUAAACAAACCUUUAAAAAUAAAUAUUUUCUCAUAAAUAAGUUUUAUUGUCUGAGACUUGGCUGUAUCAUUCAGCUAAUUAAGUUAUGCUUGCUUUUGAGCUCUAGAAAUUUUUGAAGAGAUUUUUUACUGAAAUCUUUUAGGGUAAAUAUCAUUUAAAACCUCAAACUAUUUUCGCACUGUCAAGUAUAUCCUGAACUAACGAAAAUGAUUUUUUAAACCUUGAACUAUCAAUUUUGUAAUAAUUGUACCAUUCAUCCAUUUUUUUAGCUUCAAAAAUUUAGAAAUUUAUCUUCAUUCAAAAAUUUGAUGCAUCAUGAUUCAACAUCACUAGAAACUGUUGCAGUGUAUUUGGCUUUGAAGGAAGAUAAAGUUUUGAAGAGAUUUUUACUUAAAAUCUUUUAUAUUAGAUAAAGGGAAAAUAACGCCAAAAUUCACGAACUUUUACCCGAUUCUCGUUUUUCCCACGACUUUUAAAAGUUAGACAAAUAUACGCAACCUUUUGAUAGAGUCUGAUUUUUUCCACGAUGAAUUUUUCCAACAAUUGUAUCUUUCUCUGAUUUAUCUUCUUCGAAAGAAGCAUUCAUCAUGUUGCUUUUUAUCCACCAACCCUCUGGUUCUUAGAUGCUCCAAAGCAAUAUUGUCCCUUUCAAGCUUCAACUUCUGAAAACAGAGCUUGUAAUACGACGUAAGCUCCGGAUCGACCCAUUUGCAUAAUUUAUGAAUUGCAACCAAUUUUUACCUUUUUUUUUUAACACAAAAACGGCAAUGUUUUUAACAGCUGAAAAGGACGUCUUUUGAUUCGCCGAACGACGUUGCCAUGUUGGCAAUUCUGAGUGCCACCUAAGCUUUAAAUUGGGCAAAAUUAAUAAUCGUGGAAAAAAUCAGAAUCAAUCAAAAGGUUGUGUAUUUUUAUCUAACUUUUAAAAGUCAUGGUAAAUACGAGAAUCGGUAAAAGUUCGUGAAUUUUGACGCUAUUUGCCCUUAGAUAAACAAUUGAUAAGAUUACAAAUGAUUUUCUCCCUACAUACAUACAUAGUUGAAUCACAUUGAAAUCAAACGCACUCUCAUCACAUCAUCCCUAUGCUUAUAAGCAAGUAUAGCAAAAACAGUUUGUGUUAAGGUGAGCAGCAGCAGCACUGCAGCAGCAACGAACUUGAUCACGGACCACGGACUAUUGAAGUAGUUUCGCCUCAAUUUCGCCAUCCAUUUAUUGUGCCGGCGGCCACAAUGCUUGUUCAAGCUCACAAAGACAUCAGNNNNNNNNNNNNNNNNNNNNNNNNNNNNNNNNNNNNNNNNNNNNNNNNNNNNNNNNNNNNNNNNNNNNNNNNNNNNNNNNNNNNNNNNNNNNNNNNNNNNNNNNNNNNNNNNNNNNNNNNNNNNNNNNNNNNNNNNNNNNNNNNNNNNNNNNNNNNNNNNNNNNNNNNNNNNNNNNNNNNNNNNNNNNNNNNNNNNNNNNNNNNNNNNNNNNNNNNNNNNNNNNNNNNNNNNNNNNNNNNNNNNNNNNNNNNNNNNNNNNNNNNNNNNNNNNNNNNNNNNNNNNNNNNNNNNNNNNNNNNNNNNNNNNNNNNNNNNNNNNNNNNNNNNNNNNNNNNNNNNNNNNNNNNNNNNNNNNNNNNNNNNNNNNNNNNNNNNNNNNNNNNNNNNNNNNNNNNNNNNNNNNNNNNNNNNNNNNNNNNNNNNNNNNNNNNNNNNNNNNNNNNNNNNNNNNNNNNNNNNNNNNNNNNNNNNNNNNNNNNNNNNNNNNNNNNNNNNNNNNNNNNNNNNNNNNNNNNNNNNNNNNNNNNNNNNNNNNNNNNNNNNNNNNNNNNNNNNNNNNNNNNNNNNNNNNNNNNNNNNNNNNNNNNNNNNNNNNNNNNNNNNNNNNNNNNNNNNNNNNNNNNNNNNNNNNNNNNNNNNNNNNNNNNNNNNNNNNNNNNNNNNNNNNNNNNNNNNNNNNNNNNNNNNNNNNNNNNNNNNNNNNNNNNNNNNNNNNNNNNNNNNNNNNNNNNNNNNNNNNNNNNNNNNNNNNNNNNNNNNNNNNNNNNNNNNNNNNNNNNNNNNNNNNNNNNNNNNNNNNNNNNNNNNNNNNNNNNNNNNNNNNNNNNNNNNNNNNNNNNNNNNNNNNNNNNNNNNNNNNNNNNNNNNNNNNNNNNNNNNNNNNNNNNNNNNNNNNNNNNNNNNNNNNNNNNNNNNNNNNNNNNNNNNNNNNNNNNNNNNNNNNNNNNNNNNNNNNNNNNNNNNNNNNNNCCCCCAAGCAUUGAUCAUGGGCCAGAAUCGGAAUCGGAAUCGCUCUGAAUAGUCUGAUUAAGGGCCUGGAUUUUUUAAACCUUGAAUCGACGAUUAACCGUCGGAUCGAACCGUUGAUUUAAGUUAAUAGUCUAACCAUCGGUUAAUCGCUAAUUUAUAAUAUUUCAAUUUAUGAUUUUAAGGGUUAAUUUUCCUAUAAAUACACAAGUUAUACCCGAAUUUUGGUUCAUACCAUAUCUAUUUUUUGGUCAAAAAAUACAUAAACUUUUAAUAUUUUGAAUUUGACGUAACUUUAGAAGUUCGUUGGCCAAUAACUUAAUUGUCUGAAUUUUGAUGGACAAUCCUAAGCAACUGUUGUAAAACUCUUGAUGUUAUCUUUCUAAUGAUGGGUUUUAGUCAGCGGAAGUGAUCGGAAAAAAGAUAAAAUAUAGAGUUUCAUGAUCUCAACUUUCAUGCCAUUUUUAUUUACCAUUUCUGGUGACCAAAACCCAAUAAUGCAAGUACCAUAGAAAAAUAACGUCAAGAUCUUUCCAACGGUAUCUUCGGAUUGUCCAUCGUAAUUAAGACAAUCAAGUUAUUAGACGACAAACUUUAGGCUCAAAUUCCAAAAUUAUAAAAAUUUAUUUAUUUUUUGACCAAAAAACUAAAAUUUGUCAAAACCCAAAAUUUAGAUAUAGGUCGUGUAUUUAUAGCCUUAUAGACCCGGAAUCUUCUCCAUACUAGAGGGGCCCAUGUACUGUGAACAACCGGUUCAAGCUCGAAACCGACGGUUCUCGGCCUAUGGACAAUCCUACUUGCAAUUAUGAAGAGGAUAUAUUUAUUAGAGGUGAGCCGAAUCGGAUAACAACGAUCGGUUCGGUCAGGUUGGAUCGUUUUUGACAUUGAAAUUUGGAAUAGGUCGGUUUUUAUCAGUUUGGUUUCGAUUCUGGGUGGCACAGCCGGCGAAAACGGGCAUUUUUGGAGACUGCCAGAUUCGGUCUGUUUUUAUAAUCUUGUCGGUCCGGGUCGGUUGUAGCUUCACUCUCUUCUCGGUUUUCGAUCUCAGCGGUUCGGUCCGAUUCGGUUCGGUCCGGACCGAAUGCACAUUCACUAUGAAAUUUCGCAUGAACUUUCUUAAGCAAGAAGUCUUUCACAGUGAAGUUCCUGGAAAUUUACCUAAUUAAAAUACAAUAAUUUCUGUUUGGUUGCACCGAACACUCAUUUUGUCAAUACAAUAAUGAAAAAAGUUCUUUAAAAAGAAAAUAACGCGAAGAAAUCAGCUGCAGCAACCAACAACUUAAUGAACAACUUUUGUCGUGUUUCAGCCACUCAAAUUCCCUGGUGAUAAUCUAGUAAGUAUGCUCUACAUUAAUUUGUUUAUCUUGUAAGUUUCAAUAACAAAAUAAACCUAUGUAGAUUGCUACAUGUUUAAUAUUUUUAUGGUGUUUUCUUCUUUUGUAGCAUAUAUAUUUUCUGGUUUCUUGGCUUAAUUCUUGAAGAUGACAGAGGAGAGAGACUGUGUUGUUGUUAGGAUUGAAAACUUGCUUCAUCAUUUGUCUACUUCUCUCACUCCCUCAAAGCCUAUCAUAGCUAAAGUAGAUCAACACCUGAGGCAAGUAAAUGAAAAGGAUUUUGAACCCGAAUUAGUCUCUAUAGGUCCAAUCCAUCGUGGGAAAGAUCGCGUUAAGGCCAUGGAGCAACACAAAGUGAGGUAUCUAAGCAAAUUGUUGGGAAGAAGAGAUGAGUUGAGCAUUGAGAAAUGUGUGUUGGAAGUGAGAAGCAUGGAGGAAAAGGCUCGCCUUUACUACGCGAAAUCAAUCAGUCUUGAUCAAGAUGAGUUCGUGGAGAUGUUGCUUCUUGAUGGAUGCUUUGUGAUUGAGCUGCUAAGAAGCUAUUGGUUUAGUGAUUUGAGAGACAAGAAUGAUCAAAUAUUUCAAUUUGAUCACAUGUUAGUCCAAAUAAGGCAUGAUCUUCUGUUGUUGGAGAACCAGCUCCCUUUCUUCGUGUUGAACGAGUUUUUCGACAUGACAAGGAUGGAACAUCCAGACGAUGACAUACACCAUCUCCUCCUCUUUCUAGCCGGAGACAUGUUCCCAUGGCCGGAUUCCUCAAUGCUCAACUCGAGUUCAGAUAUGUUACACAAUGCUGAGCAUCUAUUAGGCCUACUUUAUCAUUCUUCAUUCUCAUUCUCAUUCUCAUUCACUGAAAACAACGGUAGCAACACGUGCCUCGUGGAGCCAUGAAACUCCCACCAUUAUGCAUAUCUGAUAAAUUCUUCAUUCAUGCAUUACUAAUUUCAUAAUUUAUCUUUUAUUAUUAUUAUUAUUAUUAUUGACAAAACUGAAACAAAUAAAGUUUUUAGAUAUGAAAAAUAUAUUUUUCUUCCCUAUACAAAUAAAAUAUAUGGAUAUAUUUUAUAAAAAAUAAAAAUAAAAUUUUAAUUAUUUUGAUAGACAUAAAAUAAGAUUUUGUUUUAAAGUAAUCAGGUUAUAGAAUUUGUGCCUUAUUAUUCAAACAUGUAAAUCAAUGACAGAACCCGUUUAUAAUUUACAUACACGUGCAUGUCUCAAUUCAAAAUCAAUUUAAAAUUAAUUAUAUUGAAAAUUACAUAUAAUAUAUACGCUUUUGAGAAAUAUAAAAUUAAUAACAAAUAUACAUCUAAUACUAACAUUCAAUUAAAACCAUUAUUUUAUAAAUCAUAAGUCCCACGAAGCAGACAUGUAAAUCUAAUUUUUAUCGAGAUAAAAUAAAUAAUAAAAUUUAUUAAUUUAAAUUAUAUGUAAGUUAUUAUUAUUAUUAUUAUUAUUAUUAUUAUAUAGAUUAUAAUUUUAUUUAUUAUCAUACAUGUAAAUUAAUUUUUAUCUAGAUAAAAUAAAUAAUAAAAAUUUAUUAAUUUAGAUUAUAUGUAAGUUAAUAUUAUUAUAUAUAUAUAUAUACACACAUUUAUUACUAAUUAUAUUUAUUAAGAUUAAUGAAUCUUUAUAUGGAAUGUAAUAGUUAAUUAAUUAAUAAAUAAUGAAGAUUAUAUAUGACAAAUUAUUGAAAUGAAAUAAUUCUAAGCAUGUCACAUAGGUUAAGGCUUAAUUCUAUCAUAAAGAAGAUGGACCGGCACUAUUUACCGGUCUAGAUAAUCCGGUACAAAACUCGGUGGGUUUUUACCUUGGGACACGUGUUUUAAUCUGGGGCAACUCAGCAAAGACUUUUCCCCCAUUGUUGAACCUCCACCGCGGGGGGGCUUGGAAGUUGCGAAUGCCAUAAUCCAUGUGUUUGUCAGUCAGAGUUUGCCUCCAUAGUUGACUUGGAAAAUGAUGAAGUCUAUAUAAAACUCCUCAUGCUUCAGCGCUAUACAGCGCCUCAAAGCUUCAAACGUUCCUUUGUCUGAGCUCACAUUUCUCAUAGAUGGAAAAUUUCUUGGAAGUUAGCAAAGAUACAGCAAGCAUACCAAGACGAGAUCUAUGGUAAGAUUUUCUUCAUCAAUUUUAUAAACUGCAACUCCAAAUUUCUGUUUUAUCGGAUGAAAUUCACGAAUAUUGCUUUGAUUCUAGUUAAUACUCUCUCUCUCCCUCUCUCAGCCAUACACCCUCCAAUGUUUCCUACAGAUAAAAUCUGAUAGUGUCUCUAGGGAUGUCAAUCGGGCCAGUCCAUCAGGUUUUCGGGCUAGUCCUAUCGGGUUCCGGGUUAGUCGGGUGCGGGCUAAUCGGGUUGGAGAUUUUUUCGAUUGUAAAUCUUCAACCCUAACUCUAAACUUUCGGGUUUCGGGCUAGCCCAUCGGGCUAAUCAGGUUAAAGGCGUAAAAAUAAAAUUAUAAUUUGUAUUUUAUUAUUCCUAAUGAUCUAAUGUAUAAUGUAUAAAAUAUACAUAGAUAUUAAAUAUAUAAAUUAUAUAGCAAAGCAUGAAAUGCAAAAAUAUAAGAUAUUCAAGAUUACAUAAACAAAAUUAUAUUAAAAUGAGAUAGUAAAAUUUAACAUGUAUCAAUGCAUUAGAAUCAAUAUGGAUUAUUACUGAAUAAUUAGUGGAUUUGCCAUGCACGUCUCAUUGACAAGAAAAAAAAAUGGUAUCACUUUAAAAUGAGAUACUAAUAAUUAAUUUCUAACUAAUGAGAUACUAAUAAUCAAUUUCUACAAAAAAUCCGUAAUUAAUUUCACUUUUUUUAAUGAGAUUGCACACACACACACACACACACACACACACACACACACAUAUACUAACUAAUUAAUUACUUACUUUUAGUAGUAGACUAAUAUAUAUAGUUAAGCAAAUACCAUAGAUCUAAACAUAGCAGAAGUUGUAACUGGAUGCAUUAGUCACAAUUCCGUCACGCCCACCGGGCCAGCCCAUCGGGUUUUCGGGCUAGCCCUAGUCCGGGUUCGGGUUAGUCGGGUGCGGGCUAAUCGGGCUGGGUAGGUUUUUUCGGGUUGCGUAUUUUUCAACCCUAACCCUGUAAUUUUGUCGGGUUAUUCGGAUCGGCCCACGGGUUUCGGGCUGCAUUGACAUCCCUACGCGUGAGUAAAAAAAAUGAGUUUUUUCCUCUCUUUUCUCUCUCUCUUCUCCCGCCAAUUUUUCUCUUUCUUCUAUUUUUAUUUUAUUUUAAUUUUUUUUCUAAAUAUCAACAGAUUUGAUUUGUGAAAAAAUAUUCAAUAUUGAUCUUAAAUUUAAGUUCGUGACAAGAUUUUUAAUAUAGUAUAAAAAUUAUUCAAAAAGAUUCAAAACAAAAAAGUUAUCAAAAAACUAAAAUAUAAAAAUUCUAGAAUCUUGCUCCAGGAAUUGGUUAGGAGUUAAAAAGAGAAUCACCUGCUUUACCACUAUGUCUCCUGCUCCAACCUCAAUUCUUUGCAUGCNUUCAUUAUCGAAUAAUUUUUAAAUUUAUUUAAUAACUAUAAUUAUCAAUAUAUUUUGUAUUAGUUGAAAAUUUAUAUUUUUAAAUUCAAAAUUUUAUUGAGUAACUUAUGUGAAUUACUAUUAUAUUUUAUUUAUAAAACAUAUUUUGUAUUUAUUUAUAUUUUGAUUUUUUAUUUAUUUAAAUUUUCAUUUAAUUUCGAUAUCCAUCGUCGAUCAUACGUAUGGGCGUAUACUAGUUAUUAUUAAAUGAGAGGAUAUAGUGAAAAUUUUGGAAGCCAUGUUUAAAAUCACCCACCAAAAUAAUCGGCAACUCUUUUGUUUUCUUUUUGGGCUAUUUCCUUCUUCGUCUUUUGUUAUUUACAAUUAGCUUGGCUCAAACUAAUGAGUCCAAGUUCAAGCCCAACAUUCUUCUUUUGCUUGUGUUUUUAAUUAGUUGGGCUCAAACUAAUGAGGGCCCACAAACAGUAGACAUAUUAGCCCAAUUUAUAACCGGAACUCAUGCUGGCUGUGGGGGUUGUAAUCAACUCGAGCUAGCAAACUUAGGGCUGUUAAAUGGGCCGGAUCAGGUCAGCCUGGCCCAGACUCACUGAGCUAUCAACUUGUACCGGAUCAGCUUGACCCGGCCCGAAAUAUGAUUGGGUUGUAAAUCAUAACUAAAUUGGCCUAAUAUUUUUUUUUAUAUGAAAUGUUAAGACUUAUAAAUCUAUGGCUUAUAAAUAAAUAUAUCCAUCAAAUAAAUUAUCUAAUAAAAGUAAUGAAUAGAUAGAUUUUCUAAAAUAAUAGAUUAUCAAAUAAAAUAACAUUAAUUACAUGUAUAAAUAAAUAUAUUCAUUCAAUAAAAAUAAUUAAUCAAUAGAUUUUUUAAAAUAAUAGAUUAUCAAAUAAAAAAAUAUUUACAAUUAAAAAAAAAAAGGAAAAACACCUAAUUCACGAACAGUAUCCAUUCACUUAGCUCAUCUUCCAAUUCUCUCAAAGUAGGCCUUUCCUCCACUGCUCCGCCACUCUCCUCAUCAUCAACAGCUCCAGACACCGAAUCUCCCCCAUUUUCCGACGCCCUCCGCCACGGAAGAAGUUGGAGCAGGCGGGGAAGAACGCCUGCGCGGCCGCCGCGCAUGCAGCCGGGAAGCGCGUGGGUCCCAUCUACGUGGAGCUCGUAAACUAGCAACGGAAAACUCGUCUCCAAACAGCACCCCGAAAUCCUAGUUUCGUUUCCGCGGCGUAGAGAGCGACGGAUCACCUCGCCGAUGAACUGCUUGAUUUUCGAUUCCGGCACCAGCGUCGGAAUCUUCAUCACGACGGCCUCUCGAUUAUUCUCGAAGGUUCCGCGGCAGAAUUUCCCGUCCGUCUCACUGUAAUUGUUGGUGGCGAUCUCCAUUUCCUGAGCUGUGUAUAUUUUGAGUUGCGCAGAUCUCGAUCUCUUGCGAUUGGAUAGCUUCUUCUUCAGUAUGUUUCCGCCAUUCCUGUCGAACAAGCUCAUUCUGUUGUGCUCGAGCUUCCGUCUCCGAUGCGUCCAAACGAUCCAAGUGCUCGCGAAGAGGGGCGCUAGCACGAACACCCCCAAUAAGUAGGGGAUUUUGGAGUCGAUGAUGCAGAUUCCAUGGCAGCUCCGCAAGGCGACCGAGGUUGUUUUGGUGACGGAGGAAGAGAGGGUGAGAGAGAAAAACAUCAACUUGAAAGGAACGGAAUUGUGGAGACAGAUUUUCAGAAGAAUCUUCAAAGGGGUGGUGGUUGGACAAGAUAGGAGACAAGAGUUUAAAAGUGCAAACAUAGUAUAUGAAAAAAAAAGAGGGUUAAUAUGUAAAAACAUAUAUAUACAAAAAAAAGGGGGUUAAUAUGCAAAAACAUCCUAACGUUAUAUAUCACUCUAACUAUACUUAAGUCCCUAAUCUAACGUUGAUAGCAACUAACACCCCAAAGUUCAUUAAGUACUACAAUUAAACCCAUAACAAAAUUUCUUGUUAUUUGAUACUAGUAUCUGACCAUAAUCUAGUCAAAUAUAAAAGAAAAUAAAAUUAAAUAAGUUGGCGAAUACUUAGUAAUUAAGGAAAAAGAAAAAAAUGGUGUAGGCACUCUUUUGGAAAUUGGAAUUGGAACCAGCAAUUUUGCUAUCUUUCUUUUUUCUUUGUUUUCGUCUGAUGUUCUUCUUCUUCUUCUUCUUCUUCUUCUUCUUCUUCUUCUCUUUUUUAUUUGUUUUUUUAUUUGUUUUUUUUAAUACUGUUUUUUCUUAUCUUUCUUUAUAUACUAGUGUGUAACUCGUCGAAAUUCGACGAGAAACCAUUGCACAUCAUAAUUAUUAUUGUAUAUUAUUUAUAGUUAUUGUAUAUGAAAUGAUCUUUAUAUAUAUAAAUUAUUUUUUAAUUAAUUUUGUUUCAUCAAAAUAAAUUGUGUAGAUUGCCUUUACAUGUAAGUUUUUAUUUGAUAAAAUUUCACAAAAAAUUGAUGUGAUGUUGAAGAUUUUAGAAAAAAAAGAUUUAGGUAUAUUUGAAAUAGGAUAUAAUGAAGAAUUGAUAGAUUGUACUUUUUGUUAAUAGUAUGUAGAAAAGAUUUACCUUCAACCAAUCUCACUCGAUAAUCUUUAGGUUUUCUCCCAACAAAAAAAAAAAAAGAAAGACAUGCAAAUUAAACCUAACAAAAUAUUACUACUUCCAUUUUCCCAUAUUUGGCCUAUAUUUUUAAGGUCAAUGAAAGUGGGCUAUAAUUUGUCUCCAAACAGCAGCCCGCAAUCCUAAUUACAUUUCCGCCGCGUAGAGUGCGACGGAUCACCUCGUCGAUGAACUGCUUGAUUUUCAAUUCCGGCACCAGUGACGUACGGAAUCUUCAUCACGACGGCCUCUCGAUUAUUCUCGAAGGUUCCGCUGUAGAAUUUCCCCGGCUCUCUGUAAUUGUUAGUGGCGAUCUUCAUUUAGGAGAGAUGCGGCCGGCUGUUUAGGUUUUAAAUUAUACUACUAGAAUCCAAUUUUUUACUUUUUAUUCAUAUUCAUUUUAUUUCCUUCUUAUCUUUUUUUUAUAUUUUUUUAUUUUUAUGUCCAAAUCAAAAGUUGCCUCCAAGAUGAUGAAUUUUUUGAUAAUUAACCAUUUUUUAUACUACUAUUUUAUUGCAAUUUUUGCUGGAUGAGUUUGUUGAUCAGAUGUUGCUGGCUUUCUCAUUGAUCUUGUUAUUGUUAUAUAGUAAUGCUCUAAGCGUGUAAUUAAAUAACCAAUAAUUGCACCUAAUCUUUUCUUAUAGCUACGUGGAUUCAGCAUCAUAUGUUUCUGAUUUCUUUGCUUCAAUUCUAGAUUUUAAUAUAUUUGUGAUAUUUUUUUUUUGGUAAUUGAUGUAUAAAUACAUAAAUUUUAGUCAUUUUUUGGUAUUUAACAUGAAUUUUAAAAUCUAGUUAUAAAUGCAUGAAAUUUAAAUUUAUUUAAUUUUUGACCCAUUUUUUAUAUCUGAUAAAAUUAAUGCUGAUAUGUCAAAAUUAGAACUUAGUUAGCAAAUUAAUUCUCUAGCUAGCAUCUGACUAAGAAAUUUCUUCUCCUCCAUUCAAUUUAUACAAAAAAAACCCUUUCACUUUUACAAAAUAUAAUAUAAAGAGUAAUUUUUUAUUUGUGUGGACUGAGGUGUUGUCCUCGUCGGUUUUUGANAAUUCUCUAGCUAGCAUCUGACUAAGAAAUUUCUUCUCCUCCAUUCAAUUUAUACAAAAAAAACCCUUUCACUUUUACAAAAUAUAAUAUAAAGAGUAAUUUUUUAUUUGUGUGGACUGAGGUGUUGUCCUCGUCGGUUUUUGAAAGCAAGGGCGGUGGCGAACCACCAUUCGAGGCCCCUGGAUCUGAUGUUUUUUUUGUAAAGGGGUUUUUUUUGCAUAAAUUGAAUGGAGAAGAGGAAAUUUAUUAGUCAGAUGCCAGCUAGAGAAUUAAUUUUGCCAACUAAAUUCUAAUUUUGACAUGUCAAUAUUAAUUUCAUCAGAUAUAAAUAUCGGGUCAAAAAUUAAAUAAGUUUAAAAUUCAUGUAUCUAUAACCAGAUUUUAAAGUUUAUGUUAUAUACCAAAAAGUGAGUAAAAUUUAUGUAUUUAUACGCUAAAUACUUUUUUUUUUCAAGAAAGAAAGAUAAUUAGCUAUUCAACGCCGGAGGAAAACAUGUAAUUUGGUGUUGCAUUCACACAAAGUAAAUUUCCAAGAACUUUCCUACCAGAGAACUCAAAUAUUUCAAGAAGGGCUCCUCUAAACUGUCACCCAAAAUUUAUUCCCACAUUAGUAGAGGAGGGAAUUGGAAAAUACGCAAUUCAUAGAAACUAAAUUGCAUGGAGGAUUAGGCCAUAUAUAUAUGCACUUGCAGGAAAACAACAUGAAAUUUCCAUUUCUUUUCAACUGGUAGAAAACCACCAUGAAAUUUUCAUCUCAACGGACAACGCGUAUUCAAUUUUACAUUUUUUUUUCUUUUCCUCUAAUAAAAAGAAAUUAAAAUAGGAUGAAAUAUAACUAUAAAUAUACAAUCGAAGAAAUUAAUCAAAACAAUGAUAUGGCUACGUUGUGAUCAAUUUAUUUUCAGUUGGAUUCUUGCUCCCAAAUUUGGAGCACCUUUGAAACUCUGUUUCAUUCUCAAUUGAAAGCUUCGAUCUUUGCAUCUUGUAAUGGGACGGAAGGAGUAACAAUUUAUUUUAAAAUAAAUAUUAAUUCAAUUAAGAAAUUAAGAAUCGUAGGAGAGAAAUGAUGGGACAAAGAGUUGGGACAUCUGAUUCUAAUUAGUUUCCUGAUGGCUAGGUUUAAUUAUUACUAUUAUUUUAUCAAAUUUUAAAAUAUGAAUUUUUAUAUAAAAGUAUAAUAGUACAUCUAUUAUUAUUUUUAAAUGAAAGGCUAAGUAAAAGAAUUACUAGUAACUAUGUUCAAAAUCACCCCACCGGAAACAAUUAGCAACCCUUUUGAUAUAUUCUUUUCUUUCUGGGCUAUUUCCCACUUCUUCUUUUUUUUUUUGUUAAUAAUUAGAUGGGCUCAAAAUAAUGAGGGCCGAACCUCAAGCCCAACAAUCUUAGACUUCCCAAAAAAACUUAGGUAUUAAAUUGAGCUUGAAUUUUUUAUUUAUUGAAUUUUCAAAGCUCACGAAUUUAUUUGAAACUUACUUUAGACUAAGAGAACUUUUUAGAUUUAAAUAUUAAUUACUUUUUAAAAUAAUAUUUUAGAAAAGCAUACUCGCUUCUCACAAAAACAUGAACAUUUCAAUUUUUGUACAUUACCUCAUUAUCUUUUAUCCCUCAUUUUCACAAAAAAUCAUCAUGACUAUUGGCUCACCACUACUUUUCCUCACUUAAGAGCACCCACAAUGGAUGACUCGAUCGUCGCCACUCGAAUCACCCAUAGAUCAGGUCUCCCACUGCAGCGGUCAUGGACUCGAGACUGACCUGAUUUAUCGGGUGAGGCCAGGGAAAAAAAAAAUCUCAAAAAACAUACCUGAACUCGGCGAGAAGUGAAGAUGAAGAAGAUGAAGUGCAAAACAUGAUCACGGCUUUUAUUUAGAUUUAAUUUUAGGGCUUUUAUUUAGCUGACUUUGGCCUUUUAAUUUUAGGUCUUUAAAUUUUUUUCAAUUUUAAAUCUAUAUUUAAAUUUUAGUAAUUAGUAUUAAUGUAAUUUUCAUUUGAAGUAAAUUGUGUUAUUUAAAUUUAAAUGAAAAAUACAAAAAUUAAAACUAAAAAAAUCAAGUCAGGUAUCAAGUCCCCAGUGGAUGCUCUAACAUGAGCUCUUCUUUAGAAUAUUGAUAAUUAGAAUUUUUAAAUUCUAUUUGUAAUUGAUUAAGUAAUUUUCCCUCUGUCCAAUUAAUUAAUUAAACGCUUAGAGCAUUACUAUAUAACAAUAACAAGAUCAAUGAGAAAGCCUCCAUCAAAAAGAAACAUCUCAACAAACUCAUCCAGCAAAAAAUGCAAUAAAAUUGUUUUAAAAAUGGUUAAUUAUCCAAAAAUUCAUCAUCUUUGAGACAACUUUGGAUUUGGACAUUAGAUUUAAUACCUUCCAAUAAUAAAUACAAACAAAAACAAGAAAGCCAAUAUUCAUAUAGUUUUAUUUAUUAAGAAAAACAUGCAAGCUAAAACACACAUGUUUACAUUUGCAGAUAAGAGUAACCAUUUCUUCAAAGAAAGCAUAGAAACAACUGUGUGAAAGAAGGUUAGUAUGAGAAGCACAGCAGCUGAUACUUCAAGUAAUUCCUCCUCAUUCUUGCCAUCCAUCUCCCACGUCGAAGCCGUUUACAUCUGUUCAAACUCUCAAACACAUUCGAGUAGCAAAAAUCCAAUGAUGAAACCACAACAUUCUUCCCCAAUCUGUUGAACAUGCUGCAGAUCAUCUCAUCACUGCCUAUGAAGUUGCUGAUGACCCCGCUUCGUCGUAGUAUCUCAACAUCUUUGGUGGAUCUGAUGAAACAAUGUAUGAAAAACAAGUAAUCUGUCACAUACCUCGGAUGAUCAUCAGGGAAGAAGCAGAGCUCGUACGCGAUCAAGUUCCUCAACAUGGACUCUAGUUUUAUCUGAUAUGCAUUAAUGGUGGGAGUUUUAUGACUCCUUUGGCAAAACUGAUAUCCCUUAGACUCAUCCCUUUCGACCCUUUUAGCCUAAUCCCGGCCUCCUCCAUCUCCGAGGCAGAGCACGUGUGGUGCACCGUGUUGCAACCGUUGUUUUCAGUGAAGCACUUGGCUGAGAAUGAGAAUGAGAUGAAAGAAUCAUACACUAGGCCUAAUAGAUGCUCAGCACUGUGCAACAUAUCUGAACUCGAGUUGAGCAUUGAGGAAUCCGGCCAUGGGAACACGUCUCCGGCUAGAAAGAGGAGGAGAUGGUGUAUGUUAUCGUCUGGAUGUUCCAUCCUUGUCAUGUCGAAAAGCUCAUUCAACACGAAGAAAGGGAGCUGGUUCUCCAACAACAGAAGAUCAUGCCUUAUUUGGACUAACAUGUGAUUAAAUUGAAAUAUUUGAUCACUCAUGUCUCUCAAAUCACUAAACCAAUAGCUUCUCAGCAGCUCAAUCACGAAGCAUCCAUCAAGAAGCAACAUCUCCACAAACUCAUCUUGAUCAAGACUGAUUGUUUUCGCGUAGUAGAGGCGAGCCUUUUCCUCCAUUCUCCUCACUUCCAACACACAUUUCUCAACACUCAACUCAGCCCUUCUUCCUAAUGUUUUUCUUAGAUACCUCAGCUUGUGCUGCUCCAUGGCCUUAACGCGAUCUUUCCCACGAUGGAUUGGGCCUAUAGAGACUAAUUCGGGUUCAAAAUCCUUUUCAUUUACUUGCCUUAGGUGUUGAUAUACUUUGGCUAUGAUAGGCUUUGAGGGAGUGAGAGAAGUAGACAAUUGAUGAAGCAAGUUUUCAAUCUUAACAACAACACUGUCUCUCUCCUCUGUCAUCUUCAAGAAUUAAGCCAAGAAACCAGAAAUUAUAUAUGCUACAGAAGAAGAAAACACCAUAAAAAUAUUAAACAUGUAGCAAUCUACAUAGGUUCAUUUGUUAUUGAAACUUACAAGAUUAACAAAAUGUCGAGCAUACUUACUAGAUUAGGAGUAGGGAAUUUGAGUAGCUGAAACACGAAGCCAAAGCGUUGAUAUUGUACGUUGCUGCAGCUGAUUUCUUCUUGUUACAUUUCUUGUAAGAGAACUUUCAUCCCCUCUUAAUAUGCAUUAUUGGAGUAGUUUACAAAGCGAAUCUUGUGGCGGAAAUUAAGUCAAUUUCCAAGAACUUUACUUUAGAUAAAGAAAUUAAUGCUUAAGAAAUUUCAUGUGAAAUUUCGUGAAUGUGGGUUCGGUCAACGAAAUUGACGCCGACUGUGUGUCUUCACAAUUUUGCACUUUGGUCAACGAAAGUUGCAGGGAAAAUCAAAAUGAAAACAACAAGGGAAAAAUAUUUUUUUUAAAAACAUAAAUUAUAAAUAAAAUUAAAAUAUAAAUAUAUUCGGUUAAAUCGAUCAAUUCGGUCCGGUUCGACGGUUUUGAUUGCAAGUAGGGCUGGUUUCGCCUGAAUCGGCGGUUCACGGUUCACUGGAACCAGUCUGCCUGAGUAUAGAGGUUCAGGGUCCGGUUUGAACAAUCGAUUUUCGGGCCGAACCGGUUAUUUUUUUUUAAUAUUAAAUUUGAAUUUGAGUAUUGUGUAUAUUUUCACUCCAGGAUCAUCUAUUAGGCCUAAUUUAUCAAUGUUUCACUCCAUUUUCAACUCAGGGUGCGUUCUGUUUGUUUGUAAAUUUAUCAUGAGAAAAUGAAGGAUAAACAAAAUUUCACCCUUUAAAUCUUUCCUUUCUUUUUCCACAUAAACUCUGCCUCAGGCCGGCAUUCGCCUCAAACGGUCUAAACAAAACCUCCUCACUUUCAAAGCCAGAGUCCUCAAAUUCCCACCUCUGCAAGUCUCAGGCAAGACAGAGUCCCUUCUGAGGAACUUGAUGGCCUACGAGCAGCUCUGCCUCGAUGAUGAUCAUCCAAAACACGUGACAGACUACGCGUUCUUCAUGCAUUGCCUCAUCAGAUCAACGAAAGACAUUGAGAUACUGCGACGCAGUGGGAUCAUUAGUAACUACCCUACCUAGGAGGCGACGACAACAUCUGCCUAAUGUUUAACAGAUUGGGGACAAACUUUCUCAUCAGAUCAUCAGAUUUUUGCUACUCUGAUGUCUUUGUGAGCUUGAACAGGCAUUGUGGCCGCCGGCACAAGAAAUGGAUGGCGAAAUUGAGGCGAAACUACUUCAAUAGUCCGUGGUCCGUGAUCAAGUUCGUUGCUGCUGCAGUGCUGCUGCUGCUCACCUUAACACAAACUGUUUUUGCUAUACUUGCUUAUGAGCAGAGGAAUGAUGUGAUGAGAGUGCGUUUGAUUUCAAUGUGAUUCAACUAUGUAUGUAUGUAGGGAGAAAAUCAUUUGUAAUCUUAUCAACUGUUUAUCUAAUGUAAAAGAUUUGAGUAAAAAAUCACUUCAAAAAUUUGUUUUCCUUCAAAAAUUUCGUAGUAAAUUACCUUGGAAUUUUAGCUAGCAGUAAAAAUAAAAAAUAAAGUGGAAAAAAAGAAUCAUAAACUUCAACUGAUAGGCCUAGUUUAUGAUUCUUUCUUCUCAUUCUCAUUCACUGCAAACAACGGUAGCAACACAGUGCACCACACGUGCUCUGCCUCGGAGAUGGAGGAGGCCGGGAUUAGGCUACACGGGUCGAGAGGAAUCACUCUAAGGGAUAUCAGUUUUGCCAAUGGAGCCAUAAAACUCCCACCAUUAUGCUUAUCAGAUAAAACUGAGUCCAUGUUGAGGAACUUGAUCGUGUACGAGCUCUGCUUCUUCCCUGAUGAUCAUCCGAGGUAUGUGAAAGAUUACUUGUUUUUCAUUCAUUGUUUCAUCAGAUCCACCAAAGAUGUUGAGAUACUACGACGAAGUGGGAUCAUCAGCAACUUCCUAGGCAGUGAUGAGAUGAUCUGCAGCAUGUUCAACAGAUUGGGGAAGAAUGUUGUGGUUUCAUCAUCAGAUUUUUGCUAUUCAAAUGUGUUUGAGAGUUUGAACAGAUGCAAACGGCUUCGACGUGGGAGAUGGAUGGCAAGAGUGAGGAGGAAUUACUUGAAGAUAUCAGUUGCUGUGCUUCUCAUACUAGCAUUUUUUCACACAGUUGUUUGCUCUUACAAGAAAUGGUUACUCUUAUCUGCAAACAUGUUGUGUGUGUUUAGCUUGCAUGUAUAUCUUAAUCUUAAUAAAUAAUGAAUAUUGGCUUUCUUGAUUUUGUUUGUANNNNNNNNNNNNNNNNNNNNNNNNNNNNNNNNNNNNNNNNNNNNNNNNNNNNNNNNNNNNNNNNNNNNNNNNNNNNNNNNNNNNNNNNNNNNNNNNNNNNNNNNNNNNNNNNNNNNNNNNNNNNNNNNNNNNNNNNNNNNNNNNNNNNNNNNNNNNNNNNNNNNNNNNNNNNNNNNNNNNNNNNNNNNNNNNNNNNNNNNNNNNNNNNNNNNNNNNNNNNNNNNNNNNNNNNNNNNNNNNNNNNNNNNNNNNNNNNNNNNUCUGUCAAACAUGAGGCAGAUGUUGUCGUCCCUCCUAGGAAGUUACUAAUGAUCCCACUGCGUCGCAGUACCUCAAUGUCUUCCGUUGAUCUGAUGAGGCAGUUCAUGAAGAACACGUAGUCUGUCACGUGUUUGGGGUGAUCAUCAUCGAGGCAGUGCUGCUCGUAGGCCAUCAAGUUCCUCAGCAGGGACUCUGUCUUGCCUGAGACUUGCAGGGGUGGGAAUUUGAGGACUCCGGCCUUGAAAGUGAGGAGGUUUUUUUCAGACCGUUUGAGGCGAAUGCCGGCCUCGUUCAGCUCCGAGGCAGAGUUUAUGUGGGCUAAUGAGUUCCUAUGUUCACCUAUGUAAAGAGUUUGAGUUGAAAAUGGAGUUGAAAACAGAGAUGCUCUGUUUUGAUCAUGUUGAAGAGGUGGUUCAAGAAGGAGAAAGGGAGCUGGUUCUCAACAGCAUCAGGUCAUGUGUGAUCUGGCUGAGUGUCGUGGGCUCGAAGACGGGGUCUUUCUCUGUCGAGGCGUCGGAGACCUGCAUGUGCCUUCUCACGAGCUCGAUGAGGAAGCAGCCAUCAAGAAGCAGCAUUCUCACAAACUCAUCUGCAUCGACAUUUAGAGGUGUUGAGUAGCAUUGGAGGGCCAUCUCUGUUUUUUCACUCACUUUUUGGACCAGUUUUGCUAUGGUGAGAUCAUCUCUUCUCUGCAGAAGUUGCUGCAGAUACCUCAGCUUGUGCUGCUCCAUCCCCUUCAGAUGAGGUUUCCCUCGAUGGAUGGGGCCGAUAGCCACGAUCUUCGGUUCAUAAUCCUUUUCAUUCACUUGGCGCAACCGAUCAUCCACUUCAAAUAUUUUGGGUUGAAUAGUGUUGUUCAAAUUCUCAAUCAAACCUUGGAUGUUGCAAGUCACACUGUCUUCUCCAUUUGACAUCUGUGAGAACUCAGCCAAGAAAGAUGCCAAAGUUUCAAUGCCAGCAACUUUGAUAUAUAGAUGAGAAUUAAACCUGCAAGACGCGAUUAUUUGGACAAAAGCAUAGUCACAAUUUGAUCAAGAUUCAAGAUGGAGGGGAAAGACUCAAUGGUGUUUGCUGUUUCUAUACAUUCUUCGUGUGGAUCUAGAUUUAUAGAUAACAUCAGCUUAAGGCUAGGUGAAGAGCUAAACAACUUAACCAGAGUUUGAGAUUUUGAGUCCGAAACUACCAAGAAGUUUCUAUGCACGAGAAAUGUAAUUUCCUAAAGUUUUGGUGUUUUGGUACAUAUCUCAGGUUUGAGAAGACUAAAAAGACAAUGCUUGCAAAUUCACUAGGAAAUUUCGCAUGAACUUUCUCAAGCAUGAAGUCUUUCUAAAGUAUAGUUCUUGGAAAUUGAUUUAAUUUCUGCACCGAACGCUCACUUUGUCAAUACAAUAAUGAAAAGAGGGCAAAAAAGUUCUUUAAAAAUAAAAUAACACGAAGAAAUCUGCAGCAGCCAGGGGCAGGCCCCCAAAUUUUUAACUUCUUUUAAAAUUUUAUAUAUUUACUGAAUACGCCAACAAUUGUACUGAAUAAAAUAACUUUAUUGAGGGGAAAGUUUCACGAAGAAAUCAGCUGCAGCAACUUUUCUCGUCUAAGGAGCAACGCUUUGGCUUCAAGUUUCAGCUACUCAAAUUUUGUUUAUCUUGUAAGUUUCAAUAACAAAUGAACCUCUGUAGAUUGCUACAUGUUUAAUAUUUUUAUGGUGUUUUCUUCUUCUGUAGCAUAUAUAAUUUCUGGUUUCUUGGCUUAAUUCUUGAAGAUGACGAGGAGAGAGACUGUGUUGUUGUUAGAUUGAAAACUUGCUUCAUCAUUGUCUACUUCUUCACUCCCUCAAAGCCUAUCAUAGCUAAAGUAAUCAACACCUAAGGCAAGUAAAUGAAAAGGAUUUUGAACCCGAAUUAGUCUCUAUAGGCCCAAUCCAUCGUGGGAAAGAUCGCGUUAAGGCCAUGGAGCAGCACAAGCUGAGGUAUCUAAGAAAAACAUUAGGAAGAAGGGCUGAGUUGAGUGUUGAGAAAUGUGUGUUGGAAGUGAGGAGCAUGGAGGAAAAAGGCUCGCCUCUACUACGCGAAAACAAUCAGUCUUGAUCAAGAUGAGUUUGUGGAGAUGUUGCUUCUUGAUGGAUGCUUCGUGAUUGAGCUGCUGAGAAGCGUAUGGUUUAGUGAUUUGAGAGACAUGAGUGAUCAAAUAUUUCAAUUUAAUCACAUGUUAGUCCAAAUAAGGCAUGAUCUUCUGUUGUUGGAGAACCAGCUCCCUUUCUUCGUGUUGAACGAGCUUUUCGACAUGACAAGGAUGGAACAUCCAGACGAUAACAUACACCAUCUCCUCCUCUUUCUAGCCGGAGACGUGUUCCCAUGGCCGGAUUCCUCAAUGCUCAACUCGAGUUCAGAUAUGUUGCACAGUGCUGAGCAUCUAUUAGGCCUAGUGUAUGAUUCUUUCAUCUCAUUCUCAUUCUCAGCCAAGUGCUUCACUGAAAACAACGGUUGCAACACGGUGCACCACACGUGCUCUGCCUCGGAGAUGGAGGAGGCCGGGAUUAGGCUAAAAGGGUCGAAAGGGAUGAGUCUAAGGGAUAUCAGUUUUGCCAAAGGAGUCAUAAAACUCCCACCAUUAUGCAUAUCAGAUAAAACUGAGUCCAUGUUGAGGAACUUGAUCGCGUACGAGCUCUGCUUCUUCCCUGAUGAUCAUCCGAGGUAUGUGACAGAUUACUUGUUUUUCAUACAUUGUUUCAUCAGAUCCACCAAAGAUGUUGAGAUACUACGACGAAGCGGGGUCAUCAGCAACUUCAUAGGCAGUGAUGAGAUGAUCUGCAGCAUGUUUAAGAGAUUGGGGAAGAAUGUUGUGGUUUCAUCAUCGGAUUUUUGCUACUCAAAUGUGUUUGAGAGUUUGAACAGAUGUAAACGGCUUCGACGUGGGAGAUGGAUGGCAAGAGUGAGGAGGAAUUACUUGAAGUAUCAGCUGCUGUGCUUCUCAUACUAACCUUUUUUCAUACAGUUGUUUCUAUGCUUUCUUACAAGAAAUGGUAACUCUUUUCUGCAAAGUAAACAUGUUGUGUGUUGUAGCUUGCAAGUUUAUCUUAAUAAAUAAUGAAUAUUGGCUUUCUUAACAUGUUGUGUGUUGUAGCUUGCAAGUUUAUAUUAAUAAAUAAUGAAUAUUGGCUUUCUUGUUUUUGUUUGUAGGGUAAAUAUCACUUUAAACCUCAAACUAUUUUCGCACUAUCAAUUAUAUCCUGAACUAUCGAAAAUAAUUUUUUAAGCCUUGAACUAUCGAUUUUGUAUCAAUUGUAUACCACAAAGUAUAUGUUUUCAAAUAGUUUUAACUGUAAUUUUCAAUUUCUAAUAUUUUUUUGUUUUAAUUUUUGUAAUUUUCAAUUUUUAAUUUUUUCUAUUUUAAUUAUCACUAUUUCCGUCCCACAAUUUAGUAUCCAUAUUUUCAUUUUAAUCUAUCCUCUAAUUUAGUAUUCAUUUCUAUUUUUAGUAAAAGUACUCCCACAACCCUAUAAAAUGUUGGCAUCUUACCUUACUCCAAUUUAAUCAUUCUAACACUCUCAUAAAUCUGAGACACUUAUUCAACUUACAACACAUUCAACCACUUUAUUAAAAUUCGUGUCAUUCUCAAUCUCAAAUGGAUAGUAAAUUGUGGGACGGAGAGAGUAUAAUUUUUGAAUUUAAAUUAAUAAAAAUUUUAAUUUUAAAAUUCGAUAUUUAUUUUAAUCUUAAAAUAUACUCUCUCUCCGUCCAUAAUAUCGUUGUCAUUUUUAUCGUUUUAGUCCGUCUGCAAAAUCCUUGUAGAACCUAAACUCUAUUCACAACAAUAUUCACUAUUAUUAACUACUACUAUUUAUCACUUUUUUAAAAUCAAUGUCGUCCACGAAAUCGCAACGAUAUUGUAAAAGAAGGCAGUAUUAUUUUUGAUAAAUACUUUCUUCGUCCCUUCUCAAUUGACCUAGUUCUUUUCGACACGGUUAUUAAAGAGACUGAUAUUGUAGUGUAAAGUAAUAUAAAGUAAAUGAAUUCAUAUCUUUUGUAGUGAAAAUUUAUUACUAAAAAAAAUUGGUCAAGUCAGGUGGAACAGGCCGCAAAAAAAAUUAGGCAAAGAAAACUAGGCCGAGUGAGCUGAGGCGAAGGGUGUAAAAUUUAUAGAGUUCAUCAUUGAACCUCCGCCGCGGAUGGGGUGACUUGGAGCAACCACUAUGGGGGAAAGUUAGGAGGCAGUAAAAUUACUUCCUCCAUUGUGGGACCGUUUACGUUGGAAAGCAAAUUGAAGGAAGCAAAUCAAAGCAAGUGAAAUUGCUACAAGUAUAGCAAAUGGUGGCCCCCUUCUUUAAUUGUUUGAUUUGUUGUGCGUGUCUUUUGUUUGAGUGGAUCAAAUGCUGAAAUGUGUUUCGAAAUUCAAUUUUUUUUUUUUGACAAAAUGGCUUCGCAAAAUGUGUUUUGAAAUUUAUAUUUUUUUUGACAUAAUUAUAUUAAUUUUAAAUUAUACUCCCUCCGUCCCGGUCAAGACGCUAUAUUUGCUUUUCAGCAUGGGAUUUAAGAAGUUGUAGAUUAAUGUUUUAAGUGUGUAAUAAUAAAGUGAUAAAGUAAGAGAGAGAAAGUAAUAAAGUGAUAAAAUAAGAAAGAAAAAGUAAUAAAGUGAUAAAGUAGAAGAGAGGAGGCAAUAAAGAAAAUACUUAAUUAGUGUUAAUUAAGUAUUUAAAAUUCCUUAUUUUUGUCAAAUAUAGAAAUGUAGCAUCUUCGUUGGGACGGUCCGAAAAAGAAUAUGUAGCAUCUUGGGCGGGACGGAGGGAGUAUUUUUUUUAUUUAAAAAAUAAAUUUAUUUGUGUAAUUAUAUAAAUUUCAUUGAAGUAAAAUAUUAUACAAAAAAUAAAAUACAUAAAUAAUAUAUAUGUAUAUAUAUAGUGAUAAAUAUAAGUAAUAACGAUAGUGGGGUCCAUGAAUAAUUAAAUACUCCCGCCGUCUAUAAAAGAACUUCUUAGGAGGGAGUGACACAGAUUUUAAUAAAAAUUAUUGUUGAGUGUAUUGAGAGUGGAGAAAAGGUAGUUGUGUGUAUUGAGAGUGGUGAAAAAGUGUUAUAUUGAGAGUUGUGAAAAGUGAAAAGUAAAAGUAAUUAUAAGUAAUGGGGGAUAGUCCAAAAAUAGGUAGAAAUUUUUUUUGUGAACGUCCCAAAAAGAAAAGGUAGGAAGUUCUUUCAUGAACGGAUGAAGUAUGAAAUCGUGGCACAAUAAAGAAAAUAUGAAAUAGUUGAAAAAUAAGAUAGGACGUUGUUGAGCUGACAUACAUAGGAGUCAUAUGUAUGCUCUUAGGGUGGAUGCUCUUAGGGUGGGAACCACUGUUGAGUAGCAUCGUAGUGAUGCUCUUACUCUUAGGGUGGGAACCACCUCUACAUGGCCUGCAAGCUGUGAAUGCUAUUAUUUCUUUGUCAGAGUUUGCCUCAAUCAUUGACUUAGAUAAACAUCUCUCAUGCUUCAAAGAUACAGCACCUCAAAGCUUCAAAUGAUCCUUUAUGUGAGCUCACAUUUCACAUAGAUGGAAAAUUUCUGGAGGUUAGCAAAGUUACAGCAAGCAUACCAAGACGAGAUCUAUGGUAAGAUUUUCUUCAUAUAUAUCAGUUUUUUAAGCUACAACUCCAAAUCAUUACUAUGUUUUCUGUUUUAUCGGAUGAAAAUCACGAAUAUUUUUUAAGCAAACAUCUCUCUCUCUAUAACCCAUACACCCCUCCAAUCUUUCCUAUAUACAAAUGAAUCUGAUAGUUCAUUAUUUUUUUUACUUUUUCUGCAAUUUCGAUUUAUUGUGAUUUAAUUUAAUUUUUUAUUUAUUAGUAAUUAGGAUUUACCAAUUUAAUUAAUGCGUGUAAUUAGGAUAUAUAUAUAUAUAUAUAUAUAUAUAAUUUAUUUUCAUUUUGUUGUAAAAAAUAAUACGGAGUAAUAAUAUUUUAUUUCAAAAUAUUACCUUUAAUAAAAUUAUAUACUUAUUUGUGAAAAGUGAUAUAUAGAUUAGCCAUAAAUCUUUAGGAUAGAAUUACAUAAAAAUAAAAAUAAAAUUAUAGUAUAUUUUUUAUAUAUAUAAUUAGAACUAUGGGUUGGAUCUAGAUCGAGUCUGGAUCUCAUAACUCCUACUUCAUAUCUAGGUUCAAAAAUUUUAAGAAUAGUCCAAAUUCAGUUUAAAUUUAUCGAAUCUGAUUUUUGCAAGGUCCAAAUCCAAAAAAAUAGAAUCUGGUUCAAUAUUCACUAUCAUCCCUAAUAAGAGAACUAUGGGAUAUUGAGUUGGAUGAAAAUAUUUUAUGUGAAAAAUUAGUUUAAAUUUAUUAUUAUUAUUAUUAUUAUUAUUAUUAUUAUUAGAAGCUAUGUCUAAAAUGACCUCACCGAAAUAAUCGGCAACCCGUUUGAUCUUCUGUUUUCUUUUUGGGCUAUUUCCUUAUUCGUCUUUUGUUAUUUAUAAUUAGAUGGGCUCAAACUUAUGAGAGUCCAAGCUCAGCCCAAUAUUCUUCUUUUGCUGUUUUUAAUUGAAUGGGCUCGAAUUACUGAGGGCCCAAGAUCAAGCCCAAUAAUCUCAUCCUACCCAAAAUAUAACCCAAUUUAUGACCUAGAACUUAUGCUAGCGGUGGCAGGCCAAAUGGGAUCCUCUGUACCAAAAUAUAGUGUAUACCACGUGUACCACUUUUCAUUUUUUUAUAUUUUAAAAUUAUUUUUUAUUCAAUUUUAAUUUAUUAUGCUUUUAUAUAAUAUAAAGAUAAUUAACAAGGGUUCACUCAUCCAUUUAGGGUUUAUAAUUAUUUUUUUUAUAUUUAUUUGAAUUAAUAAUAGAAUAUUUGGGUUCAUUUAAUUCAAAGUUAGGGUAUAUAAUUUUUUAAAUUUAUUAUUUGAUGUGAAAAAUUAGUUUAAAUUUAUUAUUGUUAUUAUUAAAUUAGAAGCUAUGUCUAAAAUGACCUCACCGAAAUAAUCGGCAACCCUUUUGAUCUUUUGUUUUCUUUUCGGCCUAUUUCCUUCUUCGUCUUUUGUUAUUUAUAAUUAGAUGGGCUCAAACUAAUGAGAAUCCAAGCUCAGCCCAAUAUUCUUCUUUUGCUGUUUUUAAUUGAUGGGCUCGAAUUAAUGAGGGCCCAAGCCCAAUAAUCUCAGCCUACCCAAAUAGUUAGACCGGGGAAAUAUAACCCAAUUUAUGACCUAGAACUUAUGCUGGCGGUGGCAGGCGGGUUUGUAAUGAACUCGAGCUAAGUAAUAAUUUUAUUACGUAAAUUUUUGCUUCUCAUACAACUUGCACUUAUAUGCUUCAUUUUAUUUAAGAUGAUACGUUUAUCUACUAAAAUAAUGCAUUCACAAUAAUCUUUAUAAUCGUAUAAUUGAAAAUACUGAUCGUUGGACGUCCAAGGUCCAACCAAUCUCACUGAAUUUGAACGCCCAAACGAUGAGUAAUUUUGGCGUCCAAAGGUCCAACCAACAAAAAUAAAACAUGCAAAUUAACCUAAUGACCUAACAAAAUAUGAGUUCCAUUUUCCCAUUGAAUUUGGCCUAUAUUUUAGGUCAAUUAAAAUGGGUCGAAUGGAUUUAUUGUAAAUUAAGUAAAUACCAAAAAUGAAAAACUCUUAAUUCAUGAAUAGAAUCCAUCUACUUAGCUCAUCUUCCAAUUCUCUCAAAGUAGGCCUUUCCUCCACUGCUCCGCCACUCUCCUCAUCAUCAACAGCUCCAGACACCGAAUCUCCCCCAUUUUCCGACGCCCUCCGCCACGGAAGAAGUUGGAGCAGCACCGCUUUCGCGCGGGGAAGAACGCCUGCGCCGCCGCGCAUGAAGCCGGAAAGCGCGCGGUUCCCAUCUACGUGGUGCUCGUAAACUAGUAAGGGAAAACUCGUCUCCAAACAGCAGCCCGAAAUCCUAAUUACAUUUCCGCCGCGUAUAGAGCGACGGAUCACCUCGUCGAUGAACUGCUCGAUUUUCGAUUCCGGCACCAGCGACGGAAUCUUCAUCACGGCGGCCUCUCGACUAUUCUCGAAGGUUCCGCGGUAGAAUUCCCCCCGCUCGCUGUAAUUGUUAGUGGCGUUCUCCAUUUCCUGAGCUGCGUAUAUUUUGAGGUGCGCAGAUCCCUCGCGCUUGGAUAGCUUCUUCUUCAAUAUGUUUCCGCCAUUUCUGUCGAACAAGCUCAUUCUGUGGCGCUCGAGCUUCCUUCUCUGAUGCGACCAAACGAUCCAAGUGCUCGCGAAGAGGGGCGGGAGCACCAACACCCCCAAUAAGUAGGGGAUUUUAGAGUCGAUGUAGAUUCCAUGGCCGCUCCGCAAGGCGGAGGUAGUUUCGGUGAGGGAGGAAGAGAGGGUGAGAAAGAAAAUCAGCAACUUGAGAAGCUUCGAAUUGUGGAGAGAGAUUUUGAGAGACAUCGUGGAAGGUGGUGAAAAUCAGCGUUCUCGGCUUUCGUUUUGAUGCCUCUCUUUGCAAUUUACACUCUGAUGUACUGAAUCGUUGGUCUGGCGGUUUGCUUAUUUUGGUGGUAGUUUGAAUUGAAUAUUGGUUGAUGAUUUUCUGAAACUCGUAUAUGGGUUUAAUGUGUGCUUUUCUAGUCAACGAACAGGAAAUUUCUAUCUUACCUUUAUGGGAAUUCUCUUAUUCAACUUUUUGCAUGUGUUUGUUUGCCACAAUUCUAAGUUUCUCUGGUGAUUAAUCAGUAUUUUGUUUCUGUCUAGGUAGAUUGAUUAGUCUUGUAGAACUUAGAAGAAGGCCUGAAUGGAAAGCAAAAUCUGCGGAUCCAUAAAAUCUGUUGUGAACCUUCAAAUUCGAUGCAAUAAUCAUUUUGUUGUGAACCUUCAAAUUCGAUGUGGAGUCCAUAAAAUCUGUAGUUCUCCUGGAGCGGAUCCUGUAUAGAAUCCAGAAAUUUUCAGACAUGUAGAUGUUUAAUUCUAAUUGUUAAGAUGCAUAUGGACAUUUAUACGUUUUAGAGGUUGCAUGAAAACUACACUAGUUAUUGAGUUUUCCAAUUUAUCUCCUAAUAAUUUAUAUAAUGUGCUUAUGUGUUUGGCUUCAGUUUCUGAACUUUGUGUCUGACGAAACUAUUUACAUUUGGUUUUCUAGAUUGCAGUUGCUCUUGCUGUUGCAGCCAUCCCUGAAGGGCUACCUGCUGUUGUUACAACGUUAGUUCUUUAUUCUGUUUUACAUAACAUGUCAUAUGUACAUCAGCAUUCUCAUACCGUUUUUCUCGGAAAAGACCUGGCAAAUGUGGCAAGGGAUUGGCUUUGAUAAUGAGUUGUUGGACAAAUCACUGAGCAACUUAUUGGAAGACCUCUGAAUCUGUUUGUCACAUGCUCUGUACGAUUUGCUAUAGUAUCUGUCAUGGAUUUGUGAGAACUUUUAGCAGGCACUCCCUGUUAGCUCUAUUUCAGAGUAUAGUUAUUGUUUGCCUUCUAAUUGGCUACCUUUGUUCGGGUAAUAGUAAUCAGUUUCUUUUGUCUGUAUUCUAUUCCCUCGUAUUGUCCUAGAUACAACAAUUCCAAGUUUAAAUAUGCUUGACCUGUUCUAGCAUCCUUGAGAAUACAUUUUGCUCAAAGUAUAAGGUGUAGGCAUAGGUCCUACUGCAAGUAUUUUUGAUUGAAUAUAUUUUCGGUAGAGGAUUAUUUAGUAUGUUCUAUAGUAGGUAAUAAACAACUAUUAAAAAGGCUUGCAAGAAAGAUCACUUUUUGGCUCAUGAAGGUUGGCUAUGGGUUUACUAGGUUAUUGUCUUAGGUAGGCCAGAUAAGGAUGCUUAUUCAGUCUCUUACUUUCACCCAGCAGUGUUGAUAUACUUGCAGAUAAAGAGAAACUUACUUUCACCUCUGUUUUUUGAGGAAAUGCUGAUUGUUUCAAAUCCAUGCUUAAGAAGCAGCUUAGCUUUCUGCCUUACACAUCUUAAUUUCUCUGAGUGUCAGCAGGUGUCUAGCUCUUGGAACGAAACGAAUGGCUCGUUUAAAUGCUAUAGUUAGGGCGUUGCCAUCAGUAGAGACCUUAGGCUGUACAACAGUGAUUUGCAGUGACAAGACUGGUACUCUGACUACUAAUAUGAUGUUUGUCUCGAAGGUAUCAAUUUACACACAAUAAUCCUUCGUUCUUCUUUUACUUCUUUUAUUUUCCUCUGGGUUAUACUUUUUUUAAGGUUGAGAAGGGGGAAUAUAUGCUUUGGAAUGUUUCUCCUUUAUUAGCUUUGUCAGAAGCUCUGAUAAAUUUCUCUACACUUCUUACAUUUUAGCACUUAUGGUUUCACGUAAUGCUAGACUAAUUAAUUUUUUGUAUUUUUCCCCAUCAAGCUUCAAUUAUUCUGCCCAUGUGUUUAAGUGUGCAUAUACUUAUUUACACCAAUAUGUUAUUAUGUACUGCAUAUUUUCUUACAACUACUUUCACUGUAAAAGUUGAUUAAAAUGGCAUUGCUACUUUGAAUCACUAGGAAUUCCCCAUUUUUUGUGAGGACCAUUGUGAUGUUUAUAUCGAAAGUGGCAGACUGUGUCAGCCUUCCUAAAGAACUAAUAUUAAGUAUAACAUCUGCUUUCUCUUUGCAGGUAUCUGUGCUCCAUUCUGCAAAUCAUGUUCCUGUUGUAUUAAUACAUGUAAGUGGCACCACAUAUGCUCCAGAAGGUACUAUCUCCGACAGCACUACAGAGCUACAGGUAGUGUUCUAUUCAUGACAUUAGGUUUGUAUUUAUUGAUUGAUUAUAAGUUUAACACUAGACCAGUUUUCGAAAUAUCAAUAGUUAGUGCAAUGGAUUUUGUACCAGCAUUAUUUAUCUUGAAAAAAUCAUGUUUUCUUAUCAACUUAUAUUUAGUUUCAUAUCUUCUACAAUGUAUUGAUGUUUCUGACUGCUGUCUAAAAUUUGUCUACUUUGUACUUUGUUAUUCCAUAUGGUCACAGAUUCUUCUUCUCCCCUUGCUUGCUUACCAAUCCAACUACAAUUUUUUUUUUGAGAACCACCAUCUACCAAAAAUUUAUUAAAGGAUAUAUGCACCUUUUUCCUGAUUAUUUUGGCUUAUUAUCUUUCAUAUACUCUUUCGAAGGACCCUGUUUUCCCCUCUUUAUAGCUCAUCCAAUCUCCCUAGGCUCUGUCUAGGUUCCAGGUGGCCUUUUACCGUUCCUGCUUUUCCAAAUUCACCUUGCUCAGCCCUGCUGGACAGCUGGCUCCUUUUAGAAUAUUGAGCUUCUACUAUUUUUACAUGAUUCUUACUUGUCUAUUUUUAUUUUGGGUUUAUUAUAGUCAUAUAUUGACAACUUUUAUGUUUGUUAUUUGUAUUAUUUGUUGUAGUUAUUCUUAAUGUAAGAUUUAUCUGGGACCUAAUGCAGCUUGGGCUUCCAGCUAAUUUUCACUGUCUUCUACACACAGCAAUGUGCUCUGCCCUUUGCAAUGAAUCUAUUAAUCAGAGGCAUGUCUGACUGAAACAUAAGGAAGUUUGGACAACCAUCUGGUUGCACCAUUUCGUUAGUGGGUAUAAUUUCCAACUAUUUAGAUAUGGAACCUGUUGUCCAAUUACCACUUGUGAUAUCCUCACCAGUCUAUGGCAGGCAGUAUUAUAGCUAAAGUCAAUGAUGUUGUUGGUUUGAGGAAUUCAACCACAUGCUUAUUUAUGGAAUGAGGAAUGAGUCUUUCAUAUGUGGCUAUUUUUUUCAAACUGCCACUAAUGUUGUACUUAAAUACUAGCUUCUUGCAAUUUUUCCAUAGAAUUCUGUCAUAUGUAGUACCACAUUCGCUAAAAUGAUCCAGGGAAAAUGCAUAACAUGGAAUAUGACCACCUUCACCCUACAGGGAAUGUAUUGUUAUAGUUUCGGAGGUUUUUCUCUUGUCCUUGUACCAGUUAAUCCAUCUAGCUAAGUGACUGUCACUAUACUGAAUUUCAUGUAGCCUCUGCCUUUUUAAUGAAAUUUCACUGUCACAUCUUUUUUACUGUAUUUAUAUGGUUGAGUAGCUUUCUCAUCUUCUUGUCCUCAAGGAGGCCGAGAAAGAAAAAAAAAUGAAAGAAAAUGAAAUAGUUGUGUGAAAAUACUUGUAGAAAAUAUUAAAUCGGAAGAUGAGUUAAUUUUCUUUAAAUAUUGUAUUUUGUUGAAGCUUGUACUUCCAUGUUAGAUAACUUCUGAUCGUAUCUAUCAGAAAAAACUGCAAAUGACCUAUUAAGCAACUUGGCCUCGUACCUAAUGGACCAAAGAUUCGUGGGCUCGAUAAUUCCUUGGUUACAGCAGGCAAGUUCUUUUGGUUGCACUAUUUAUAACUAUAUGAAAUCAUCCAUAUCCGUAACAAAUGAUUAGCAUGUUAUCUAAAUGAUCACUCUGUUUUCAUCAGCUUGUGGAUCUCAGUAACAUCCACGGACCAACCUACCUGGUGCUCUCCUCGAAGACGAAACAAGAAUUCUUAUAUGGAGUCCAGGAGGCUGCCAAAUUGGAGAUAUUCAAUCCUGCAGAGAGAAGAUGCCUUACUGAAAUAGGCAAAAUGUUGUGCCAGUUUUGGGGUUAAGACAUUUUUACAUGUUUGAAUCUCUUAAGUGGAGUUCAUUUCUGUAUUGUAAUUCAAAUCAGAAAUCUUGCACAUUAUUUGAUGUGAAGGCUGGGAUCUGAUUAGUAAUAGGUCGUGUUGAAGUUGUAUAAACAAAUCUAUUGCUCCAGUUUGUGCAAAGUAUGAAGUUGUGCCUCAAGAUUUAGGGGUCAAAAUUUCACAAUCUGACUGGUUAUAAGCAUGACAAAGCUCAAACAGAUAUAAAGCAUUUGGUGAAAUAAGUCAUUUAUAAUCGGGUGUCAAAAUGCUUUUCUUGGAUACAUAAACACUUGCUUACUUUUCCAUUGAUAAGAAGAGCUACAAUGUUUAUGACUUGUGAAAAAUUAGGACAGAAUGGUACAGACUUAAUCUUCAAAAAAAGAACCUGUUUGCAUACACUUUCUUAACUGCAGGUUUCAACAAUCAAAUCUUAGAGAAGAGGCAAUAGAGGCUUUACUCCUUUGAAGGCUCAUUAGGUUGUUGAUUCUUUAUAGGGCGCGUCUUCUCUUUCGCUCUGACUUCUGAGUUGGUUUCUUAACCCUCUGUUGGGAUUCUGAGGCGCAUUUUUUGAGACUUCGUAAAGGGUUAUACUACCACUACUUUCUAUUGGGCUGAAUUCUUGUGUGACGAGGGGUUCGAGUAUCUCAAUGACUUGACUCAUGAGGGGUCUUCCUUUUGGGUUCUGACUGAGACAUUGAAAUGCCAGAUUGGCCACUUUCAUAAGAAUCUUGGUGGAGUACUGCCCCUCGAUUCUAGGAUCCAGUAUUCUCGAAAGCUUCUUGCUAUGGUUGAGGAGUGGACGUGCCCACUCCACAAGAUUAUGUUCUCGGCUUGGCCUGCUCUUGUCCAUCGCACGUCUUCCUAUAAGCAUCUCAAGCAGAACAACUCCAAACCCAUAGACAUCGCUUCUUGCUGUCAAAUGUCCUGAACAAUGUACAAAUGGAUGAUCAUUCAAUCACUAGUCAUAAACAAUGCAUUUAAAGAUGGUAAUAAGAGAUUUAGCCACAACUCGUCUAAGACUUAUAUCAAAGAGCAACCUACGCGUAAAUGGUAACAUCAGAUGUAGCGUUCAUAUCACGUCUGCCAUCACAAGACUCACCAGUCAUGACAUACUCAGGAGCAGCGUAACCAUAGGUGCCCAUAACCCGGGUUGAGACAUGAGUUUGAUCUCCCGUUGGCCCAACCCUUGCCAGCCCAAAAUUAGAAAGCUUUGCGUUGAAAUCCUGUGCUCGUUAUACACUUUAGCCACUGAAUGAUCGAUGGAGAUGACAAAAUUUUGCAUAACCAGAAGACAUUGUGAAAUCUAUGGGAUUCAUCAGUAGAAUUCCAUCCAAAUAUGUAACUCAUUUAUAAGACCUCAUUUGUACUAGUAAACACAUCUACUAACCUCAUCUAGCAAAAUGUUUGAAGUCUUAAAAUCCCUGUAAAUGAUAGUUUUUUCAACACCAUGAAGAAAAGCAAGCCCUCUCGCAGUAUCCAAAGCAAUCUUUAGUCUUCUAUGCCAUGUUAAUGUGGCUCGUACCCCUACAAGCAAAAACCACAGAAAAACUGUAAGGAGACUAACUAGGCUAAACCAGGUGGGAUAAAGAGCGCACACAGUCCAUCACACGUCUCUUUUAGUUUGAUGGUGCACUGUAAUAGCUAAUAUCUCCUUUAAUUUUUCAAAAACUAUGUUGGCAUCACAUAUAAUACAACCUCCAAUUUCAAAAUGAAUGUUCUUAUAAGCAACUUCGUUUUAGAUGGUUAUUGAAACCUCAGUUUUCCAUAUCAGGUGAUUGCUACACGAGUAAAUGAGUGAAAGAAUGCAAGUCACUCUCAGCUGAAACAAUUUCCCACUACUACCACUUACUAAAGAAAAGGUGUUUCUCGAGGCUCCCAGAUGCCAUAUAUUCAUAGACCAAAAGCCUAUGGUCAUCCUCGCAGCUGUAGCCAAUAAGUUUCACCAAAUUAGGAUGUCGGAGUUGGCCUAAAUAGUUUACUUCUGCCUGCAAAGGACAACUUACACAUUCAGCGAUAACUACCUUCUCUACAUUUAAUGAAUUAGAAAAAAGUUUCACUGAAUAGAUUUUUUAGAUUCGAGGCAGCAAAAGCAGUAGAGAUGGGUGCAGCCAUCCAGUCACUUAUUUGUCUAGAAAUUGAAAUAUUGUUCUGAUAAAAUUUCAAUUGCUGCUCUUCCGAUCCCAAUCAACAGCAGCUAAUUCUCAACCAAACAUAAUACAAGGACCAGGCUGCACUCCACAGAUACACGAUGGCUUAUCCCAUUUCAUACUUACUUUAUAAAACUAAUAAAAAGUAGAAUAUGGGAAAUUAAGUUUUCUGGUAAGUUAAUAUAUAUAAUGAAUAAUGGGAUUUGGCUUUCUAACCAUCAGAAUAAUAAACAAUAACUACCUGUGUUAUGCGUAUAUUAAAAAAAUAAAAGUAUUAAGCAUCCUACGGCGGAUAUCGGUGAAAAUCUCAUUUCAAUCAUUCUUCUUCUAAAGGCUGCGCCUAUACAUAUAUGAGGUUUGGGCUACAGAAAUACAGAAUUAAUCAAACCCACGCAAACAAAGAAGCGAGAUGGCGAUGGCUAGGCGAAGGGCGGUGAUGCUGUUCUCUGAGACAAAUUAUCGAACAUGUGGCGUUCGUCUGAAACGCAAGCCACCGAGCAUGACGUUCUAGCACCAGUCUCUGCAAGCGCAACCAUGACUAGGCAGAAGACAACGCCUAGCUCUCCUAUCUAUCUGCAAUUUUCAUUUUACUAUCAAUUUAAACACUAACACAUAUCAUACAUACAUGAUAUAUAUAGCAGGUUCUUGAUAAGAGUUUGAAGAUCAGUAUCUUUCACCAGCGAGAUAGAGGCGUAUUCCUCGACCCUCGUCAGCUUUUUCAGCUCUCGAACGAGUCGACUCUGUGAAGCUCUCCAAAGGCAAAUCGACGUGCAUGCUGACUUAAGUUAGCAUCUUCGAAGUUGACAAUAAACCCACUGAAUCAUACCUCCUCCUCGUUUGUUACAUCGAUGAUUUGUGAUGUUUCGUUGUCCAGCGGGAGGAGGACACCAAUAAAGGGAAACAAUUGAACAAUCGAUAAAUGAGGAAAAAAAAGGGAAAAUCGAAGGAGAAGGAGUGAUUUAUGUGAUGAGAAACCGAGGAGGGAGAAAUGAGGGGAAAUUUGAGCAAAAAAGUAAAUAAAUUGCCUACUUUUGGAGGGAUUUUUUUUCGUUUAGGCGGGAAGUGAUUUCCUUGGGGGGAAACAAAAUUUUUCAUGUCAUAUUAAUUUAUGGGGUCCAACCAUAAUUUAAAAGAGAUAUGUUUUAUAGCUCCAACUUAAAAACAACUCUUUUGUAUAUCAAAAUGAGUUAAAUGACUAAAACACCCUCAUAUUAUAUCAUUAAAAAAAAGGGAAUCAAGAUUUUCGUCCAAGUCAAGGAUGUGAAGAAGAUUUUACUUGAUAUUAAAGGUCCUAUCAAGAAGUAUAGGUAGCUUGAAGGAUCUAGAAUAUUUUGUCUUACUCAACUUUGAAACAUAUUGAGACUUAUUUUGAGACUUAUUGAGACAUAUUCCAUGUUAUUUAUUUUUAGUUUGGUAUGUUGUUCAUUCUAUUUGUUAUGUUGAUUUUUGUAUAUUAUUGUCUUGAGAAACAAAAGAAAAACACAAAAAAAUGUUGGUGGUUGUCGUGAUCAUGAUGGGGGCUUCCCAUCGUGGACACAAUGGCAGCCAUCGUGGUCACGACAGCGCCAUCGUGGGCCACGGUCGUGCCCUCGCCCCCGUCGUGCCCCGCCCUCGCCCACGCCCGCCAUUCGCUCCGUCGUGUCCACCAUCGUGUCCACGAUGGUAGGACACGAUGGUGGACACGAUGGCUCUCACGAGUCAUCGUGUGGUUAUUAAUAUCAUUUAAUUUCAAACUUAAAUAUGAUUAUUGACUUGUUUAAUGUAUUAUAUUAUGUUUAAAAUUAUAAUUUAGCAAUCAAGCUUGAUUUGUAAUAAAAAUUAAACGAGUUGGAGUUAUAUACAUCGAGAUCUAUGAAUAUCUACUUGAAAAAUACUUAUAACAUUUCAUGGAAUGUUAUAUAGUUGUCAUGACUCAUUUCACAAAAACACUUAAAUUAUGUGUUUUAAGACAAAAUGGUUUGAUUAACUAUGUAUAAUGUUGUUUAGAAGAUAUAUAACAUGUUCAAACUUAAAUUAGUCGAAUAUAACAUCAUAAAUUUUAAAAAUUUCAAACAAUAAUAACACACGAUCGUGUACCCGGUCGUGGACACGAUGGUGUGAUUGUGGUCACGAUCAUGGCCAUCGUGAACCACGAUCGUGCCCUCCGUUUCUCCUGCCCGAACCCAUCGCGGGCACGAUGGGUGCCUCCCAUCGUGAUCAUGAUGGGAGGUUUCCAUCGUGAUCUCGGCAAAUAACAUGGAAUAAAUCUCAAUAAGUUUCAAAGUUGGGUAACGACGGGGAAGACACGACGCGAGGGCACGAUCGUGCCCACGGUUGUGCCCACGGUGAGCUCCAUCGUGAGGUGUCAUUGUGGGCACGAUCGUGUCCACGAUGGUAGACUCACGACCAUAGGCACGAUGGCUCUCACGAGUCAUCGUGUGGUUAUUAAAAUCAUUUAAUUUUGAAUUUAAAUAUGAUUAUUGACUUGUUUAAUGUAUUAUAUUAUGUUUAAAAUCAUAAUUUAGCAAUCAAGCUUGAUUUGUAAUCAAAAUUAAACGAGUUGAGUUAUAUACAUCGAGAUCUAUGAAUAUAUACUUGGAAAAUACUUAUAACAUUUCAUGGAAUGUUAUAUAGUUGUCAUGACUCAUUUCACAAAAACACUUAAAUUAUGUGUUUUUAAGACUAAAUGGUUUCAUUAACUAUGUAUUAAAAUGUUGUUUAGAAGAUAUAUAACAUGUUCAAACUUAAAUUAGUCGAAUAUAACAUCAUAAAUUUCAAAAAUUUCAAACAAUAAUAACAUACGAUCGUGUACCUGGUGGACACGAUGGUGUGAUCGUGGUCACGAUCGUGUCCAUCGUGCCCUCCCAUCGUCGUGUCCUCCGUCCCCUCCCCCCAUCGUGUCCUCCCGUCCCCCGGCCCCGUCGUGUCCUCCGUCCCCCAUUCCCCUCGUCAUGUCCCCCGUCCCCCCCGGCCCGUCGUGCCUUCGGCCCAUCGAUGGCCGUGAUCGUGCAACGACCGUGCCCACGAUGAACAUCGACGGUCGUGCCCCCUGCCCACAAUGGACACGAUGGUCGGGGGACGGUCUUAUCGGCUGAGACAUUACCAUUGUGGGCACGACCGAGGGCACGAUCGUGCCCUCGCGUCGUGGCCUUCGCCCCCUUCCCCGUCGUCCCAUCGCUCCUCGCCCCCCAUCAUAGCCUUCGCCCCCUUCCCACCCCCAUCGCCCCUCGCCGGUCGCACCCCCUCGUUCGUGCCAUCGCCCAUCGCCCUCUUCUCCAUCGUGCGAUUGUGGGCACGACGUGGGCGACGGUCGUGCCGUCGUCGUGCCUCGUUGCCGCAGCCCCCUUCACCUCGGUCGUGCCAUCGUCGUCGCCCGUUGUGGACGCGAUGGGGGCUCCCAUCGUGGACACGAUGGUGCCGUCGUGGCCACGACCGUGGCCCACGAUGGCUGCCAUCGUGUCCACAAUAGGGGCGCCCAUCGUGAUCACGAUGGUGCCGUCAUGUCCACGACCGUGGCCCACGAGUUUAGCACAUUACUAACAUUGAGAAAACUGAAAGUUCUAAUUGUUUGUUAAAUAUAAGAUGAUUUUCUAAACACUAAUAUUUAUAUAAAUAAAUUAAAAUAUAGUAAAAUUUGGCUUAAUAUAUUUAGAACUAAUUCAUCUUGAUACGUCUGCAUAAUUUUUUUAUUUAUUCAACGUGGAAAAAUUAUCUUUUGUAUUAAAUUAAUGACAAUACAAAUUAUCUUUAUAUUAUAAACACUAAGCAUUUCUAUCAAAUAUAUGCUUUUUUAUAGCUGUAGACGAGAUGAUUCUCAAAAUUCACUUUUGAUCUUUCAAACUCUAAACGAGAUAAUGUUAAAAAGUUAGAGGUGGUCUAUCAAACUUCAUACAAGAUGUAUUCAAAACUUAAUUUUGGCUCCAAACAAUAAAUUGCUCUAAGUUAGAAGUGAUUUGCCAAACUCCAAACGAGAUGAUUCUUAUAACUAAAUUCCGAUCCUUUAAACUUCAAAUGAGAUCAUGCUUAGCACUCAUCUACAGUAUUUCAAGCUCCAAAUGAGUGAUGCUUAGAACUCAACUCCAGUCUAUCAAACCAUGGACAAGAUUAUACUUACAAAUCAGUUAUAGUCUUUCAAGCUCCACACGAAAUUAUUCUCACAAGCCAGUUAUGAUCUUACGAGUAUUUUGGUUUCAAACAAUAUGAUGCUCACAAAAUUAGCAGUGGUUUGUCAAGUUUCAAAUGAAAUGAUGUUCAUAACUUAAUUUCAACCUUUGAAGUUUCAAAUGAGAUAAUGCCUAACACUCAACUCCGGUCUUUCAAGCUCCAAAUGAGUGAUGCUUAGAACCCGGCUCAGGUCUCUCAAAAUAUAGACAAAUUUCAUAUAACAAGCUUUAGAUAAGAUAAUGAUUAGAUGUUCGACGUACAAAAGUCAAAUGUGAUAUUUCAAACCACAAACAAGAUGAUGCUCAAAGUCUUGUAAGAUUCGAGAUGACGUUCAUAUAUAAGAUGUGAUCUUAAAUUUUGUUUAUCAAUUUAUAAAAAUUAUACUCCUAUAAAAUUAGUAAAUCUUUCCUACACAUUAUAAAUAAAAAAUACGAUGUGUCAAUCCUUCAUCAUAUCAUAUGUCAAAUAUACCUAAUUUUUUUCUUCUUAUUUUUCUAAAUCUCCAACCUCACAUCAACUUUUUAUGAAAUUUCAUCAAAUAAAAAUUUAUAAAAAAANUUUCAAACCACAAACAAGAUUAUGCUCAAAGUCUUGUAAGAUUCGAGAUGACGUUCAUAUAUAAGAUGUCAUCUUUAAUUUUGUUUAUCAAUUUAUAAAAAUUAUACUCCUAUAAAAUUAGUAAAUCUUUCCUAUACAUUAUAAAUAAAAAAUACGAUGUGUCAAUCCUUCAUCAUAUCCUAUGUCAAAUAUACCUAAUUUUUUUUCUUCUUAUUUUUCUAAAUCUCCAACCUCACAUCAACUUUUUAUGAAAUUUCAUCAAAUAAAAAUUUAUAAAAAAAGACAAUCUAUUUUAACUCUCACCAAAAAUUAACUGACAAAAAUUAUUGACUAUCAUAUGCUAUAAUAAAAAAUAAUACUCCCUCCGUCCCUAAAAUAAGUUCUUCUUUUUCCUUUUUGGGACGUCCCAUAAAUAAAUUCCUCUUUCUUUCUUUCCAUUUUUGGACAACUACCCCACCACUAAUAAUACUUUAUUUAUUCUUACUUUUCACUUAUUCACCACUCCCAAUACUAAUUAUACCACUUUUUCACCUUUUCACCACUCUCAAUACUAGGGCUGUCUAAAUGGUUAUCGGGUUUUGGGUAUCCAAUUAACCGAACCGAAAUUCCCGGGUUUGGGUAUCCAAUAACCGAAAAUUUCGGGUAAUCGGUUAUUAUUUUUUUGGAAAUUUCGGUUAUCGGUUAACCCGAAAAAUCGAUCGGGUUAACCGAAUAACUGAAAUUAUUUUAUUAAUUAUUUAAUAUAUAUAUUAUCAAUAUAUCAUAUAUAAUAUAUUAUAUAUUUGUAAAUUAAUAUAUAAAUAUAUUUGUAAAUUAUUUAAUAUAUAUAUAUAUUUGUAAAUUAUUAUAUAUAUAUAUAUAUUAUAUAUAAUAUAUUUGUAAAUUAUAUUUGUAAAUUUACAUAUAUAUUAUAUAUUUGUAAAUUUACAUAUAUAUUAUAUAUUUACAAAUAUAUUAUAUUUGUAAAUUUACAUAUAUAUUAUAAUAUAUUUACAAAUAUAUUAUAUAUUUGUAAAUAUAUAUUAUAUAUUUGUAAAUUUACAUAUAUAUUAUAUAUUUGGAAAUUAUUUAAUAUAUAUAAUAUAUAUUUGUAAAUAUAUAUUAUAUAUUUGUAAUUUAUUUUAGAGUAGAUAGAGCAAAAAUUAUUUGAAUUUUAUUUUUUAAAUGGGUAUUUCGGAUACCCAAAUAACCCAAUUGGUUAACCGAAGCGGGUAUUGGGUAACUGAACUUCUAAAAUGGUUCGGGAACGGUUAUUGAAAUUUGGCAAUUUCGGGUUCGGGUAACCGAAAAUUCGGGUACGGGUAACCGAACCCGAACCGAUCGACAGCCCUACUCAAUACUAAUUAUAACAUAUUUUUCUCUACUAUCAAUACACUUUACAAUUUUUUCUUAAACCGUCUCCAAAGAGAAACUUAUUUUGGGGACGGAGGGAGUAUACAAUAAUAGUUACUCCCUCUGUCCCUAAAAUUUGUGGACCAAAAGAGAUGGCAUGAGUUUUAAGAUAAAGUAUGAUAGUUAUGUUUAAAUAGAGAUUGAGUUCCACACUUUUUUAUAAAUAAUGAGAGGAAAAUUUUGUGGGGUCAUUUCCAAAUAAAAAAAGACCACAUUUUUCAAGGGCGUCUCAAUAUAAUAAUAAAACCACAAUUUUUAAGAACGAAGAAAAUACAGUAUAAAGUGGUUCCCCGUCGAAUUUCGACGGGUUAAUAUUUUUAUUAAGUGACCUGCAGCGGUGGUGGUGUGUAAAUUUUUUAAAUUAAAUUGGUAAAGCAUAAAAAAGUUUCAAUGUGACCAAGAGAAAGAAGUACAUAUUUAAAUAUUUAAUAGAUGCAAUUAAGAUAAAGAUAAUAGAUGAGAAAUAUUUGAAAAAUAGGAUCUUUGAAUUUCUUAUUUUUAUAAAGUAAUUCAUCUUUUUUUAAAUAAUUAAAUCUUAUAGUUAAUACCAAUAUAAAAAUAAAAUUAAAUGAAUUAAAAAUCAGCCAAAAGGCAAUUCUCGACAAACGUGCAACUAUAGUUUGAAAAAGUAACUAAGGUAGAGCCAAUUUCUUUAUUAAAUAAAAUGUUUUAUUGAAAUUAAAAAUAUUUGCCACAUGGCAAGAUCUCAACGGCGAGCUGCAUUAAAGCAGUGGCACGAUAGAAGCACCCCAUUGGGGGAAGUAAUAUAGUACUCCAUACUUCAUCUAAAAAGACAAGACAAAAGUCAUACCGCAUGGGCCCAUACCCCACCUUUGAUUGCGAAGGUACUUUUUGGUUAGGAUUUUUGAUGGAAUAUUAACAAAUCUAAAUAUUUUAUUAUUUAAAGCUUAAUUAACAAUCAAAUUAAUCAAUAUAAACAUGAAUAAUCAAAUUAGUUCAGCAAGUGAUACGGAGCCACCUUUGGGCCUCCUAAUUUUUUUUUUUAAUUUUGUAAAAAAAAAUUAGUAAUGUUAUUUUAUUAUAUAUACAGUAUAAGUACAUAAAGUAGGAGGAUUUGUUGUUAAAAAAUUCCACAUAAAAUUUAUAUGUAUUUCAGAUUUUUUUUAAUCUAUAUUUAUAUGUAAUAAUUUUAUAUUUCAAAUAUUAUUUUUGAAAAAAUUCACAUAUAUAUAUACUUCAAUUUGAAUUUUUUAAAUAAAUAAAGUAAUCCACAUCAAUUACUCAAUAAAGAACUUGACUCUAAAAACACAUAAAUUUUUAAUUUUAUAUAAAAUGUAAUGAUAACUAUUGUUAUUAAACAAUUUAAAUAUUUUAUAAACAAUAGUAAAAUUAUAUUUAAAUGUUAACCAGAUAUAAUACUUAGGUGUUAUAUUUAUAUGUUCAAUAUUUACGUGACUUCAAAUCACUUAGUUUUUAUGAAAAAUAUGUAUUGUAAAGAUUUUCAUAAUGGCAUAUAACAUAGUUGAGUUAUGAUUUUUUUUUUUUCUAAAGUGUCAUUUUUAAUUUUUCUCCUAUAUGAAGAAAACCUUUUUUUUUCAUAAAUAAUAGAAGAAACACAUCAUUAAUGUUGAAGGGGAUGAGUAAAAACAUGUUCACAUUAAAAUAUGUCAUUUUAAAAAAAUUGAGCUAAUCGUGUAUAAAAUUAUUUUUUUUAAGACUAGCUCAUUAAUUAACUAUGUUUUCUUAUUAGUGAAGUUUAAAUUGGCCAGUAGGAAAACAAAUCAUAUUAUUACAACUUUUAAAAAUACUAAUAAAAAAUAAAGUAAGUGUUAUAUACCGAAAAAUGAACUCCAACAAAAUUAGAAUAAAAUAUUUAGAUUAAUUUAAGUGUUAUCCCGAAACAUAUAUACUUAUUUAAUUACGUAUAUAAUUUUAAUUUUUUCCUAAAAAAUCAAAUUUUAUAAAAUUUAAUUGAAUAUAAUUUUGAAUAUGUAAACGUAUAUUUAUCAUUAUUUGUGAAAUAUAAAAAUUAUUUGAUAAUGACGAUUAAUACAAAUUUUACUAUUAAAUAUAAUUUUUUUUAAAUUCUAAAGAUUUAUAAAAUGAACCAAUAUAAAACACAAAACUCAAUAUCUAAUUAUUUUCCUUUUGAAAAACACAAAAAUCAAAAGUACAUAAAAAUAUAAAAAAAACAAUAAAAUUUAUAAAUAACGAUUUUACUACUGUUCUCAUAACAAAAAUGUACAGCAAUACAUGUUAACUAUCCACAUGUAUCUAUAUAUAUAAAUAUAAUUUAUCAAAAUAAUUGAUUAUCUGUCUCAAUGGAGACUCGAAAAUUACAUAUCAAAUAUUUUAUUAACUAAAGUGCACGAUUUUUAGGAAAGAAAAAAAAGAUAAUAAAAAGAAAAGAAAGGGAAAAAAUUGUUAAAUGAAAAGAAAGAGAGUAUUUGAUUUGAUUUAUAUUGUAAACUUCACAUUAUACAUUUUUUCAAAAGGAAUAUGCAUUCAAAUACAUAUUAGCAAGAAGUAAUUGUCGGUACCAUCUAAAAAACAUAAUUUAUGACCAUUUUUAUAAUUUUGGUCAAAAAUAUCCUUGACCCCGCGGAUCCUACUCUCCCAGUCCAACCACGUACAGUGUUCUCUCUCUGUCUCUCUCCCCCCGCUCUUGGCACAAAUAGUAUAAUUAUGUCAAAUGUACCUAAUGAAUGACACAAUUGUCACGAAUUUACCCAUUUGUACCAAAUGUGUCAUCAUUCAAUCUUCAGUCACAUUUGACACAAAUGUGCAUAAUUGUGUCUAGUAUGUACUUAAUGAAUGCCACAAUUGGCCUGAAUUACCAUUUGUACCAACUGUACCAUCAUACUGCGUGCCCAACUCGAAGCCCAACCCACACGCAAACCCGAACGCGCUCCUAACUAAGGGCAAAACAGUCCUAAAACGUAAAAAUUGGUCAAAAUUUUUGUUUUUCAGAUGGGAGACCAAAUAUUGAGUUUCAUUGUUCAAUAUGACCAUCUCACAAGUUUACUCUUUUCAAAAUUGACAUUGAAAUUAAUUUCAAAUUAAAAUCUUGACUUUUUAAUAUAUUAUACUAGAAUUGAAGGUUUUAUCGUAUAUUAUAUUUUAUAUUUUUUUUUCCUCUUUCUUAUGUAUCCAUGAAUUGCAUAUUUUUAUAUUUAUUUUAUUUUUGUUCAUCUUUUUAUUAUUUUUUCUUUUUAAACUUGUGAAAUUCGCCCAAUUUUAAUAUAUUUGAUAUCAUAUCAAAUUAAAGAUUAAAGUUCACGACAAGAAAUUUAAUUUGAUAUAUUUUAUGUAGAUAAUGAAUUUAAGAUUUAAAUACAUGAGGACUAGUUUUUUAUGGAAACUUUUUUGCAGAUGUAUCAAACUUCAAACCUUUGCAAAAUAACAAAAGUCAUACCCCAUACCCCAUACCCCACACCCCACACCUUUGAUUGCGAAGAUACCUUUUUCUUUAGUUUUUUGGGAAACCAUCUUCACUCCAUUUUAGCAUUUUUCUUUUUUUGACUUUUAGCUAUGAUUUGAGAAAACCGUUAACAAUAGAUUCGAGGGCGGUUAAUUAGGAAGAUUAGUUUUGAUAGAUAAAAAAAGUAAAAUUCAUUCUAUUAUUUACUUUGAUGGAUUAUAAUUUUGAAAUAUCCCAAGACCUUAAUUUGAUUAUUUCUAUUAUUCAAAUUAUUUUUAUUUGAUUCAUUUUUCAUAAAAAUAGUUAAUCAUUCACAUAAUCAAUACAUGCUAAAGUUGGCCCAUAAAAUUCAGGUUCAUUUGAAUCCCGCGCAUGACAAAUGAAAAUUUAAAAUGCCUAAUUCUUUCUUUAUUUUUAUUAAUUGAGUUAAUUUUUCUUUAUUUUUAUUUUGUUAACAUAAUUUAUUCUUUCUUACAUUUAAGAAAAUUGGCUUAUUUCCCUCCAAAAAAAGAAAAAAAGAAAAUUGACUGAUUUUAAAAUAUCCAACACACCUAUAAAUUAAAGAUCUUGUUGAAGAUGUCAGAGGAGAGAGACUGUGUUAUCGUUAGGAACUUAGGAUUGAAAACUUGCUUCAUCAUUUGUCUAUACUUCUUUCACUCCCAAUGCCUAUCGAAGCUAAAGUAGAUCAACAUCUAAGGCUGGAGGAAAACAACUUUAAUUUGGUGUUGCACUCAAACAAAGUAAUUUUUCCAAGAACUUUCCUACAAGAGAACUCAAUUUUUUUUAAUCAAUAGUUCAUUUUUAGGGUGUGCUCAAUUUGAUAGAUAAAUUUAUCAUGGGAAAAUAAAGUAUAACAAAAAUUUAUGUCUUUAAAAAGUCUUUUUUUUUUUUUCAGAAGUUCACCAUUUUUUCUUUCUUAUUUUCACUUCAAAGAGAGACAACAUUAUCUCUCGAUCUUGGUGUGGUAAUAUUAUCCAUUUUAAAGUGAAAAUAAGGAAGAAAAGGUAGAGAACUUGAUCUCUUUUGUGUAAAAUAUGGGAAAAGAAAUGAGACAUUUAAAAUUAUAAAUUUUGGUCAUUAAUUCUUUAUUUUUCCAUGAUAAAUUUAUCCAUGUGAACGUACCCUUAGGGUUAAUUAAUUCAUCGUAACUAAAUUCCAUUCCUAGCGGUAAGAGGGGAUUUAGGCCAUAUAUAUAUGCACUUGUAGGAAACCAACAUGAAAUUUCCAUUUCUUAAUUUGCCAAUGCCGACUAGUAGGAAAGCAACAUGAAAUUUCCAUUUCUUAAUUUGCCAAUGCCGAUUUACAAUUUUUUUUUUCUUUUUCUCUAAUAAAAAGAAAUUAAAAUAGGAUGAAAUAGAACUAUAAAUAUACAAUUAAUCGAAGAAAUUAAUCAAAACCAAGUCUGUCUUUUCCUUCAUCCAUCAUGUUUCCGCACAUCUCUCUCCACAAUUCCGCCCCUUUGAAGUUGCUGAUUUUCUCUCUCAUCCUCUCUUCCUCUCUCACCAAAACUACCUCCGUCGCCGCCGUGCCGGGCUGCCAUGGAAAGUGCCUCGACUCCAACAUCCCUUACCUGUUGGGGAUGUUCGUGCUGGUUUCCCUCGUAAUUGGGAGCACUUGGAUCGUCUGGUCGAAGCGGCAAAAGAAGCUCGAGCACCAUAGAAUGAGCUUGUUCGAUAGAAAUGGCGGAAACAUAUUGAAGAAGAAGCUAUCCCAGCGCAAGAGAUCUGCGCACCUCAAAAUAUACACAGCUCGGGAAAUGGAGAUCGCCACCAACAAUUACAGCGACACCAGAUCGGUAAUGCAGAGGUGCAAGCCGGGGAAAUUCUACCGCGGAACCUUCGAGAACAAUCGAGAGGCCGUCGUGAUGAAGCUUCCGUCGCCGGUGCCGCAGUCGAGAAUCGAACAGUUCGUCGACGAGGUGAUCUUCCUCUCCGAGGCCCACGGGAAUCUGGUUAGGGUUUUGGGCUGCUGUUUGGAGACGAGCUCUCCCUUGGUAGUUUACGAGCUCCACGGCGACGGCAACCGCACCCUCGCCGACUGCUGCACGCGCGGCGGCGCGUGCGCUGGCAUCCUCCGGGCGGCGGUGAGGGGGCUCGCCGACCUGCGGUCGCGGAAUGCGAGGGCGGCGGGGUUCCUCCACGGCAACUUCUGCGGCGGCAACGUUUUGUUGGAUGAUUCUUUUGAUGCGAAGCUGUUCUACGCCGCCGCCUCCGGCAACCUCGUCGCUGAUCGAGAUCGUGUUGGUUUCGAUGACAAGGACGUGUGUAGCUUCGGAGCAGUGCUGGAUGAGCUGCUGUCGACGCGUCGGAGGGCGCCGGAGAGUGACGGGGAUCUCGCCACGUGGCUGCUGUCGGAAGAUUCGGAAGUAGUUUAUGUGAAGGAGGUUGCCGCCAUGGCUGCGAGAUGCAAGAGUGUGCUGCCGGAGGAGAGGCCUACCUUGUCUGAAUUGGAAGCUACGCUUAGUAGAUUGAUUGGAAAUUUAUAGAGCACAACUAGUUGCUAAUACGUUUCUGUUAUGCUAUUUUGUAGCCUUAAAUCAUAUUUGACUAUUUGUAAGCAUUGAUUCCAUCGUGUACAGUUUUAAAUAGAGAAUCAGAUCUGAUCAAUGAAAAACAGUUUCCAUUUCCACUUUUCAUAUUCUUAUUCUCUCAUGGCUACUGUUCAGCCAUAUUUCCCCUCGAUCCACCUAAAGAUUUGAGGAUGUGCUUCUUCUCCCAAUAUCGCUCCGCUGCAAUUCAAAAUUCGGACUUUGAUAUGGCUACGUUAUGAUCAAUUUAUUUUCAGUUGGAUUCUUGCUGCGAUCUCUCAUUCAAUGAUCGGAUAAAAAUAAUUUGAAUAAUAGAAAUAAUCAAAUUCAAAUUCAACUCCAGACGCUAGUGAUGAUUAUAUUUUGAAAUUUCGAGGCAUUUCUGAUCAGUUAUCCAAUAUUGGUCAACAAAUUGCAGAAACUGAUUUUUAAAUACCCAUGUCCCAAAGAAAUAAGACAUUUAUAAUUGAAGUAAUAUUUUAUUUUAAAAUAAAUAUUAAUUCAAUAAAGAAACUAAUAUUAGGAGACAAAUGAUUGGACAAAGAGUUGGGACAUCUGAUUCUAACGAUAGGACAAUAAAGAAACUAAUAUUAGGAGACAAAUGAUAGGACAAAGAGUCGGGACAUCUGAUUCUAACGAGUUUCCUGAGGGUUAUAGGGUUUAGGAGUGAGAGGAUUUUUUAGGACAGUAACUUAUGUUAAUUUGGAAAUUAGGACAAAAACUUUUUGACUUGUAAAAUUUUUUUAGAGUAAAAUAAGACACUAAUUAAUAAGCGUCGUAAAAAUAAGACAUUUCUCGGCCGAGAAUUGGUCUGACAAAUGUCCUGCGGGUGCAACACUUAUUAAUUAGUGUCAUAUUUUACUCUAAAAAAAUUAGUGUCCUAUUUUUAUAAGUCCGAAUGUUUUUGUCCUAAUUUUCAAAUCAACCUAAGUUACUGUCCUAAAAAACUCUCGAACUCCUAGGGUUUAGUACAGUACGUAUAAAAGUAUAAUAGCACAUCUAUUAUUAUUUUUAGGGGUAUUAGCCUAUAAAUAUCCGAACUUUUUCUAUUUUCUGAUUUUGCACCCUAACUUUAAAAUUUGCCUGAAAAUACCCGAACUUUAUAUUCUUUCUGAUUUUGCACCCAACGAAUUUUCACCCCCAAAUCGUUAAUAAAAUGGCAGUCGGAUUGAGAGGCAAGUUUGAAUUUCAUAACGAAACAAAUAAGUUUAUUGUCAAUUUGAGAUCUAAAACAUGUAAUUGUAGAUUUGAGAUGUCAAUCCGGCUAUCAUGUUAGCAACAAUUUCGAGGUAAAAUUCGUUGGGUGCAAAAUAAAAAAGAAUACAAUGUUCGAGUAUUUACAGAAAAUUUUUAAAGUUCGGAUGCAAAAUAAGAAAAUGGAAAAAGUUCGGGUAUUUAUAGACCAAUACCCUUUAUUUUUAUAUGAAAGGCGAUGGUAAAAAGAAUUACUAGUAACUACUCCCUCCGUCCCACUCCAAUAUGCUCGUUUUCCUUUUUGGGACGUCUCACUCCAAUAGGCCUAGUCUAAAAUUAGAAAUAAUUAGGGCUCUAAUUAAAAUUAUAACUAGUUACUUAAAGGGGAUAUACACCCCUAAUUAAAACCCUAAAAACUCUCAUUCACGUUUUCCUCCCACCUCUGCUCAAAAUUCUUUGUCGCCACUUCCCAAAAUUUGGCGACUGGUCGCGCCUCAACGGCUCUGAAACUCCGGCCUCUUUUCUCAUUCGGCCCUCUUCCCGAUUCUCCAGAAAUUGCCCACCGGAACAAGCCCUAACUCUAGUAACCUCAAGUGGAACUCAAUUUGGAGCCCUAACUCUCCCCUCUUCCUCAAUCUCAACGGAAACACACAAUUGUGGGAAAAAUGUCGAGCCCCAACUUCUCCGAUCGAGCCUCUCUCUUUCUUCCUCUUGGUUCAGGCAAAGUCGCCUCUGUAACUUCGGACGAAGUCGACGCCGCUCUUCGGCCUGUGAAAUUGUGAAAUUCGCCUCAAUAAUUUAACCUCUUAUUUUUCUAUUUUAUUUCUUUUUUAAAAUUGUGAAAUUCGACUAAUUAUAAAAUAUUUGAUAUGUAUAUCAAAUUAAAGAUCAUGACAAGAGCUUUAACUUGGUAUAAGUUAUGUAAAUAUUGGAUUUAAAAUAUAAAAAUUAUAUUUAUUUAAAAAUUAAAACUUAAGAAAUUUCUCCCCUCCUCCUCCUCCUCUUUUUUUUUUGAAUAAUCUAUUUUUUUUCAAUUUUUUAACUUAUAUUUUUUCUUUUUUACAAUAUCAAUUUUUAUAAUAUGAAUUAUUCUUUAUUAUUUUUAUAUUAAACUAAAUUAUUAUCUUAAAUUAUAGUAUUUUUAAUUAUAUUUAGAUUUUAUAUAAUAAUCAAAUUAAUAUAAAUUUUAAAUAUAAUAAAAUAUAAAAAUAUUUUUCGUGCGUUGCACGAGUGUAAAUGCUAGUUAAUAUAUAUUUUAAAAUUUGAAUUGAUAUAAAAGUAAAUCCAGCAGCCAAAAGGAGUGAAGUGAUCCAAGCUAAUUCGAAAAUCGAUUCGAGAGAAAUGCGAACUUAAUUUCGAAAUACUCGAAGUAAAUCUGAAAAUUUAUCGAAUCGAGCUCGAACUCAAGAUCAAACUAUAUUUGACAUUUGAAAAAUAAGGAGGCACGAUAGAACAUACAACACCAUGUAAUUAAUUAUUUGGUACACGAAUUUAUUUAAUUAAACGCUUAGAGCAUUACUAUAUAACAAUAACAAGAUCAAUGAGAAAGCCUCCGUCAAAAGAAACAUCUCAACAAACUCAUCCAGCAAAAAAUGCAAUAAAAUUGUUUUAAAAAUGGAUAAUUUUCCAAAAAUUCAUCAUCUUUGAGACAACUUUGUUGACACUAUAUUUAAAAACAUUCCAAUAAUAAAAACAAAAUAAAAAAAGCCAAUAUUCAUUAGUAUUUAUUAAGAUUAAGAUAUACAUGCAAGCUAAAACACACAACAUGUUAAUUUACAUUGCAGAUAAGAGCAACCAUUUCUUGUAAGAAAGCAUAGAAACAACUGUAUGAAAAAUGGUUAGUAUGAGAAGCACAGCAGCUGAUAUCUUCAAGUAAUUCCUCCUCACUCUUGCCAUCCAUCUCCCACGUCGAAGCCGUUUGCAUCUGUUCAAACUCUCAAACACAUUUGAAUAGCAAAAAUCUGAUGAUGAACCACAACAUUCUUCCCCAAUCUGUUGAACAUGCUGCAGAUCAUCUCAUCACUGCCUAUGAAGUUGCUGAUGACCCCACUUCGUCGUAGUAUCUCAACAUCUUUGGUGGAUCUGAUGAAACAAUGUAUGAAAAACAAGUAAUCUUUCACAUACCUCGGAUGAUCAUCAGGGAAGAAGCAGAGCUCGUACGCGAUCAAGUUCCUCAACAUGGACUCAGUCUUAUCUGAUAUGCACAAUGUGGGAGUUUAUGACUCCAUUGGCAAAACUGAUAUCCUUAGAGUGAUCCUCUCGACCCGUGUAGCCUAAUCCCGGCCUCCUCCAUCUCCGAGGCAGAGCACGUGUUGUGCACCGUGUUGCUACCGUUGUUUUCAGUGAAGCACUUGGCUGAGAAUGAGAAUGAGAAGAAAGAAUCAUACACUAGGCCUAAUAUAUGCUCAGCAUUGUGCAACAUUUCUGAACUAUAGUCGAGCUUUGAGGAAUCCGGCCAUGGGAGCACGUCUCCGGCUAGAAAGAGGAGGAGAUGGUGUAUGUUAUCGUCUGGAUGUUCCAUCCUUGUCAUGUCGAAAAGCUCGUUCAACACGAAGAAAGGGAGCUGGUUCUCCAACAACAGAAGAUCAUGCCUUAUUUGGACUAACAUGUGAUCAAAUUGAAAUAUUUGAUCACUCAUGUCUCUCAAAUCACUAAACCAAUAGCUUCUCAGCAGCUCAAUCACGAAGCAUCCAUCAAGAAGCAACAUCUCCACGAACUCAUCUUGAUCAAGACUGAUUGAUUUCGCGUAGUAAAGGCGAGCCUUUUCCUCCAUGCUCCUCACUUCCAACACACAUUUCUCAACACUCAACUCAUCCCUUCUUCCUAAUGUUUUUCUUAGAUACCUCAGCUUGUGCUGCUCCAUGGCCUUAACGCGAUCUUUCCCACGAUGGAUUGGGCCUAUAGAGACUAAUUCGGGUUCAAAAUCCUUUUCAUUUACUUGCCUCAGGUGUUGAUCUACUUUGGCUAUGAUAGGCUUUGAGGGAGUGAGAGAAGUAGACAAAUGAUGAAGCAAGUUUUCAAUCCUAACAACAACACAGUCUCUCUCCUCUGUCAUCUUCAAGAAUUAAGCCAAGAAACCAGAAAAUAUAUAUGCUACAAAAGAAGAAAACACCAUAAAAAUAUUAAACAUGUAGCAAUCUACAUAGGUUCAUUUGUUAUUGAAACUUACAAGAUAAACAAAAUGUAGAGCAUACUUACUAGAUUAUCACCAGGGAAUUUGAGUGGCUGAAACACGAACAAAGUUGUACAUUGCAGCUGAUUUCUUCGUGUUAUUUUCUUUUUAAAGAACUUUUUUCAUUAUUGUAUUGACAAAAUGAGUGUUCGGUGCAACCAAACAGAAAUUAUUGUAUUUUAAUUAAGGUAAAUUUCCAGGAACUUCACUGUGAAAGACUUCUUGCUUAAGAAAGUUCAUGCGAAAUUUCAUAGUGAAUGUGCAUUCGGUUCGGACCGAACCGAAUCGGACCCAACCGCUGAGAUCGAAAACCGUGAAGAGAGUGAAGCUAGAACCGACCCGGACCGACAAGAUUAUAAAAACCGACCAAAUCUGGCAGUCUCCAAAAAUGCCCGUUUUCGCCGGCUGUGCCACCCAGAAUCCAAACCAAACCGAUAAAAACCGACCUAUUCCAAAUUUCAUUAGAAAGAUAACAUCAAGAGUUUUACAACAGUUGCUUAGGAUUGUCCAUCAAAAUUCAGACAAUCAAAUUAUUGGCCAACAAACUUCUAGAGUUACGUCAAAUUCAAAAUAUUAAAAGUUUAUGUAUUUUUUGACCAAAAAAUAGAUAUGGUAUGAACCAAAAUUCGGGUAUAACUUGUGUAUUUAUAGGAAAAUUAACCCUUAAAAUUAUAAAUUGAAAUAUUAUAAACUAGCGAUUAACCUAGACUAUCAACGGUUCGAUCCGACGGUUAAUCGUCGAUUCAAGGUUCACAAAAUCCAAGCCCUUAAUUAAUCAGACUAUUCAGAGCGAUUCCGAUUCCGAUUCUGACCCAUGACCAAUGCUUGGGGGACCUAGACAACACUAAUUGCAAGCCUUGGCAAUUUGUUAUUUAUCAUUCAAUACACAUUUGUCAUGCAACUUGACUGGUUCUAAGUCUUUUUAGUCUUCUCUUGAGGUUUUUCAUUUUUUGCCUCAGUUGACUUGAACUUGAACAAGAUGAAGUCUUCUUUUAAGCCAUGGCUGAAAUCACAAUGUCAUAACUUCUUUUAUCCAAACAAUCUUUAUGCUUCAAAGGUACAACACCUCAAAGCUGAGAUCUGUACCAAAACACCAAAGGCCUUAAUGCACAGGAAAUUACAUUUCUCAUGCAUAGAAACUUCUUGGUAGUUUUGAACACAAAAUCUCAAAACUCUGGUUAAAUUGUUCAACUCUUCACCUUCCCUUAAACUGAUUUUAACUAUAAAUCUAGAUCAACACCAAGAAUGUAAAGAAACAGCAAACACAUUGAGUCUUUUUCCCCUCCAUCUCAACUUUGAUCAAUAGUAUGUAUGCUACCUGUUUUCCAUUCUUGAAUUCUUGAUCAAAUUAUGACUAUUUAUCCAAAUAAUCUAAUCUUACAUGUUUAAUUCUUGAAUGUUCACAGAUGUCAAAUGGAGAAGAUAGUGUGGCUGUUGCAAUCCAAGGUUUGAUCAAGAAUUUGAGCAACACUACUCAACCUAAGCCCAAAAUAUUCCAAGUGGAUGAUCGCUUGCGCAAGGUGAAUGCAAAGGAUUAUGAGCCGAGGAUCGUGGCUCUCGGCCCCAUCCAUCGAGGGAAACCUCAUCUCGAGGCGAUGGAGCAGCACAAGCUGAGGUAUCUGCAGCAACUUCUGCAGAGAAGAGAUGAUCUCACCAUAGAAAAACUGGUCCAAAAAGUGAGAGAAAUGGAAGAAAUUGCCCUCCAAUGCUACUCAACACCUCUCAAUGUUGAUGCAGAUGAGUUUGUGAGAAUGCUGCUUCUUGAUGGCUGCUUCCUCAUCGAGCUCGUGAGAAGGCACAAGCACGUCUUCGAGGUCUCGACAGAGAAAGACCCCGUCUUCGAGCCCAAGACACUCAGCCAGAUCACUCAUGACCUGAUGCUAUUUGAGAACCAGCUCCCUUUCUCCAUCUUGAACCACCUCUUCAACAUGAUCAAAACAGAGCAUCCGGACGAGAAUCUGCACGACCUCGUCCUGUUCUUGGUCAACGACACGUUCCCUUGGUCGAACGCCCUAAAACUCGAUCCAGCAUCAGACGAGAACCACCACCUCCACCCUGACCAGGAUCAUCUAUUAGGCCUAAUCUACCAAUCUUUCACUCCAUUUUCAACUCAAACUCUUUCUACAACUAAAGAUAGGAACUCAUUAGCCCACAUAAACUCUGCCUCGGAGCUGAAGGAGGCCGGCAUUCGCCUCAAACGGUCUAAACAAAACCUCCUCACUUUCAAAGCCAGAGUCCUCAAAUUCCCACCUCUGCAAGUCUCAGGCGAGACAGAGUCCCUUCUGAGGAACUUGAUGGCCUACGAGCAGCUCUGCCUCGAUGAUGAUCACCCAAAACACGUCACAGACUACGCGUUCUUCAUGCAUUGCCUCAUCAGAUCAACAAAAGACAUUGAGAUACUGCGAUGCAGUGGGAUCAUUAGCAACUUCCUAGGAGGUGACGACAACAUCUGCCUAAUGUUUAACAGAUUGGGGACAAACUUCCUCAUCAGAUCAUCAGAUUUUUGUUACUCUGAUGUCUUUGUGAGCUUGAACAAGCAUUGUGGCCGCCGGCACAACAAAUGGAUGGCGAAAUUGAGGCGAAACUACUUCAAUAGUCCGUGGUCCGUGAUCAAGUUCGUUGCUGCUGCAGUGCUGCUGCUGCUCACCUUAACACAAACUGUUUUUGCUGUACUUGCUUAUAAGCAUAGGGAUGAUGUGAUGAGAGUGCGUUCGAUUUCAAUGUGAUUCAACUAUGUAUGUAUGUAGGGAGAAAAUCAUUUGUAAUCAUAUCAUCUGUUUAUCUAAUGUAAAACUUUAUCUUCCUUCAAAGCCAAAUACACUGCAACAGUUUCUAGUGAUGUUGAAUCAUGAUGCAUCAAAUUUUUGAAUGAAGAUAAAUUUCUAAAUUUUUGAAGCUAAAAAAAUGGAUGAAUGGUACAAUUAUUACAAAAUUGAUAGUUCAAGGUUUAAAAAAUCAUUUUCGUUAGUUCAGGAUAUACUUGACAGUGCGAAAAUAGUUUGAGGUUUUAAAUGAUAUUUAUCCUAAAAGAUUUCAGUAAAAAAUCUCUUCAAAAAUUUCCAGAGCUCAAAAGCAAGCAUAACUUAAUUAGCUGAAUGAUGCAGCCAAGUCUCAGACAAUAAAACUUAUUUAUGAGAAAUUUCCAUUUCUUAAUUUUGCCAAAUGCCAACUAGUAGGAAAGCAACAUGAAAAUUUCAUCUCAACGCGUACGUAUUCAAUUUUACAACUUUUUUUUCUUUUUCUCUAAUAAAAAGAAAUUAAAAUAGGAUGAAAUAUAACUAUAAAUAUACAAUUAAUCGAAGAAAUUAAUCAAAACAAAGUCUGUCUUUUCCUUCAUCCAUCAUGUUUCCGCACAUCUCUCUCCACAAUUCAGCCCCUUCUUGCUGAUUUUCUCUCUCAUCCUCUCUUCCUCUCUCACCAAAACUACCUCCGUCGCCGUGCCGGGCUGCCAUGGAAAGUGCAUCGUUCGUGCUGGUUUCCCUCGUAAUUGGGAGCACUUGGAUCGUCUGGUCGAAGCGGCAAAAGAAGCUCGAGCACCAUAGAAUGAGCUUGUUCGAUAGAAAUGGCGGAAACAUAUUGAAGAAGAAGCUAUCCAAGCGCAAGAGAUCUGCGCACCUCAAAAUAUACACAGCUCGGGAAAUGGAGAUCGCCACCAACAAUUACAGCGACACCAGAUCGGUAAUGCAGAGGUGCAAGCCGGGGAAAUUCUACCGCGGAACCUUCGAGAAUAAUCGACAGGCCGCCGUGAUGAAGAUUCCGGCGAUGGUGCCGUCGAAAAUCGAGCAGUUCGUCGACGAGGUGAUCUUCCUCUCCGGGGCCCAAGGGAAUCUGGUUAGGGUUUUGGGCUGCUGUUUGGAGACGAGCUCUCCCUUGGUAGUUUACGAGCUCCACGGCGACGGCAACCGCACCCUCGCCGACUGCUGCACGCGCGGCGGCGCGUGCGCUGGCAUCCUCCGGGCGGCGGUGAGGGGGCUCGCCGACCUGCGGUCGCGGAAUGCGAGGUUCCUCCACGGCAACUUCUGCGGCGGCAACGUUUUGUUGGAUGAUUCUUUUGAUGCGAAGCUGUUCUACGCCGCCGCCUCCGGCAACCUCGUCGUUGAUCAUCGAGAUCGCGGUGGUUUCGAUGACAAGGACGUGUGUAGCUUUGGAGCAGUGCUGGAUGAGCUGCUGUCGACGCGUCGGAGGGCGCCGGAGAGUGACGGGGAUCUCGCCACGUGGCUGCUGUCGGAAGAUUCGGAAGUAGUUUAUGUGAAGGAGGUUGCCGCCAUGGCUGCGAGAUGCAAGAGUGUACGGCCGGAGGAGAGGCCUACCUUGUCUGAAUUGGAAUCUACGCUUAGUAGAUUGAUUGGAAAUUUAUAGAGCACAACUAGUUGCUAAUACGUUUCUGC
rnacentral:lncRNA from 1 species